UUUCAUUCAUAAAUAGCUUCCAUUAAACCUCCAACAUGUAUACAUCCAAAUUUCUCAUAAAGACCAUAGUUAGGUAGUACUUGAAAACCCUAAUCUUUUUUUUUCUAGUAAAGGACUUGAAAAAUUAAAAUAAAUAGGUGCCAUAUCCGAAACCCUAAUUAACAGACUUAAAGUAGCAAACCAAACCAAAAACUCAUAUAAAAAGCAAGCAUAUUAAACUAUGGUUCACCCAUUGAUUCAUCAACACAGAAAAGCAAAAAAGUAAAUAGAAUGAUGUAUGGAUGCAAAGAAAAUGUGAAGAAACGCAUUUACGCUUUAUCCUCCACCAUCCAUGGUAGCAGAUCAAUGGUUGUUAGAUGUAGGGCAUUCUAUAGCGAAGUGUCCAUCUUCACCAUAGUUGUAGCAGCUGCCGCCGCCNNNNNNNNNNNNNNNNNNNNNNNNNNNNNNNCACCUCCACGUCCUCCGCCACCUCCAUAACAUCCACUUCCACGUCCUCCGCCACCAUAUCCUGACGACUCUCUUUCAUGUCUUCAAUUCACUCGUAGACCUACAAAACUAUUAAAAGCACAACUAGAAGCCAAAAUCAAACUUAAAAGUCAAACUUAAAAAAUCAAACUAAAAAGCUAAAUUUGAAAAUUUGUAGGUUAAACAAGAAAGUCAAAGGUCAAACUUGAAAGUCAAAGUUAAAAUUUUAAGUAAAAAGUCAAAAAUUUAAAACUAAAAAUUUUGGGUUGAAAAUGGAAUUUAAAAAUAAAAUGAAAUUGAUUUUGGGGUUAAAAGUGUUAAAUUUGCGAAAGUGGAAACCGAGAAAGGACUAAAGGAAUGAAGCAACUAGCAAGCCAGAUCGGAUGGUAAGGGCGCUGGAAUGAUGAACCAAGGGACCCAGGUUCAAAUCCAGGCACCCCCAAAAAUGUUUUCCCCCUUAUUUUAAGUGUAAAUAAGCUGCUGUGANUUUUUUUUAAAACAAGCCAGCCGCUGUGAAACUAUAUGAUUUAAACAAGCGAGAUGUUUAACAUCUUCCUUUGUAGCUCAACUGGUAAGAUGCCGAUUUGAAGAAUCAGAGGAAUCGAGUUCGAAUCCUGCAACCCUCAAAAUCCUUUCCUUUUUGUUUUAAGUGUACACUGCUGAUCAAUGACUCGCCGGACCGUAUACACCGAUCGUAAACCGCCGGGCCGCAAACACCGGCUGUAAACUCUCCGGGCCGUAAACUCGUAAAAUAUUACAGAAAAAUACAAUUGCCCAGAAAAGAAAAGUAUAAACCAUAAUAUUAGAUUCCUUAUAUCCCCCAUCACUCUCCAUAAUUAGUGAGCAUUAUAACAAACAUUAUUAUGAGUUUUAUGAGUGUAGUUAUGCACCAUUAUAAUGAGCAUUCAUAACAUACAUCACCUUUCAUAUUCUUUGUCUAGAAUAAUUAGUGAGUGUUAUGUAUUGUAAAGUUUGGAUGAUUUCAUCACAAGUAUUAGAAUAAAAAUUCUUUCCACUCUCAAGUCUUUCAUUACUUGAUAAUUUAUCUUGUUAUUUGAUCAUAUUUUAUAACAUACUCUACAUUUAUUUAUUUAUUUUAGAUGGAUAAGAAAAGAAAGUCAUUGAAGCCAGAAUCAAUCAUACAUGCACACAAUAGAUAGUGAAAACAAAAUAACCUAACGCUAUAUAUNNNNNNNNNNNNNNNNNNNNNNNNNNNNNNNNNNNNNNNNNNNNNNNNNNNNNNNNNNNNNNNNNNNNNNNNNNNNNNNNNNNNNNNNNNNNNNNNNNNNNNNNNNNNNNNNNNNNNNNNNNNNNNNNNNNNNNNNNNNNNNNNNNNNNNNNNNNNNNNNNNNNNNNNNNNNNNNNNNNNNNNNNNNNNNNNNNNNNNNNNNNNNNNNNNNNNNNNNNNNNNNNNNNNNNNNNNNNNNNNNNNNNNNNNNNNNNNNNNNNNNNNNNNNNNNNNNNNNNNNNNNNNNNNNNNNNNNNNNNNNNNNNNNNNNNNNNNNNNNNNNNNNNNNNNNNNNNNNNNNNNNNNNNNNNNNUUUUUUUAAAGUUAAACUCUUUUAGUUGAUUUUAUUUAACUUUUCUCGUUUAAAUUUUGUCAUUUAUAUUUAUUUUAUUUGGUUUCUAUAAUUAUACUUUCAAUAUAAAAAAAGGAAUGGUUCAAAUAUCUUAACAAAAACUAAUAUAAGAAAGGAUAAACUUCAAUAAUGAUUGAAUUGUCACAACAAAAACUAUUAUAAGAAAUGAUAAACUUCAAUAAUGAUUGAAUUGUCACGGUAGGAAAAUCAAAUAUUUUGUAAAUUAGUUUUUCUUAAAGUUAUUUUUACAAAAGCAAGUCGUUCUCUAAAUUUUUAAUUAGUCGUUUUUUUAAUUAUCAGUUAGUUAUUCUUUUAUGUCAAUUUGUUUCUAUUUUUAGAUUUAUUUCUUUUUAGUUAAAUAAUAAUAAUAAUAAUAAUAAUAAUAAUAAUAAUAAUAAAGUGUUUUAAUUUAAAAAUUAAUAAAAAAUAUAAAAUAAAAUAAAAUAAUAUAAAAUAAAAUAAAAUUGUUUUUCAAGUUUUUUUAAUUAGUUUUCUUUGGUGUAUUUUCAUUUUUUGUUGUUAAUUCUUUUUGAUAUUAGUUCGUUUACAUUUUCUCUUUUAUAUUUAUUUUGUUUCUCCAGUUAGGGUUUAAAUAAAAAAAUCUAAAAAUUCAAAAACAAGUGUCAUGCAAGUAUUCUUAGUAAAUGUUUUAAACUAUAUAUUUUCUUUCAGCCUGAUAGAAAUAUAAAGGGGGAGAAUACACUGAAGUAAUGAAAUGGAAUCAAACUCUCAGUAAACUCCGGGGGAAAUUUUUUAAUGUUGUGUCUGGUGUACUAAUUAUCUAUGAACAUCGGAAGUUAUUUACCCCCUAAAGUUCUAACAGUGACAUCUUUAUUGUGUGUUCAAAGAUAUUUGUUUUCAGAUUCUAAUUUGCAGUUGAAUAUAAGAUAACAUGGAUGUUUGAUCUAGUGAUGUUCUUCUACAUAGAAAAGAAAGCUUCAAGUGGGUCUUGGUGACAGUCUUCCUAAUGUGUCAAUACACAUUUAGUUCAAGAUUUGCAAAAACAUUGCAUCAUUUUCAUAAAUCGACGAGAAAUGUCAUUCUUUAUGAUCUUUCACUGUGCUGACAAAGUGUCUCAAGAUGUUGGAAGAAAUAAACCACAAGAUUAGGGGGAGAAAUUAAUAAGGACAAAGGCAACCAAGCUAAAAAUUGACUAAAUGGUCACAAUGUUAUUCAAAGUUGGUUGAUUUCUGGAGCUGACUCUUACAUAAGCUCCAUCAGGUAUGGUCAUUCAUUUAAAAUCAUUGUACCUUUCAUGAUACGGUGACAUUUGAUAAGACAAGUAUGUAACUUUUGAUAAACCAUUGUCCUUAGAAGCAUGUUGCUUUAUGUGACUAAAUCUCUCUAACUAUCUCAUCAGUGAGACCAUAUGCUGAGAAGACAUUCAGUCACCCCUUCAUACUGAUUUUUAUGCAUUGAUAUAUUUUCAAGUGUGAGAUUGCCUAGUCCUGAUCAUAACAUUAUUUUAAGGCUUGAGUGUUUAUUUUAUUGUUUAAUUGUUUCUUUCCUAGUCUUUUCCCGAGAAGCAUGCUAGCCAUAUGCAUCAAGUCUCAUGUUCUACUUAAACAUCAAGCAUUACCCAGUGGCUUAAACUGAUUGUAUUGUUAUUAGCGUAAGAGUUACUUAUCAGGUCCUUAAAUGACAAAGGGUCGUUCAUGUCCUUGACCCACUAGACAGAGGUAUAACAUGGUACAUGUAAUGUCUGAUUUCCCGAUAUGAUUUUAUUUUCAAGUUAUUAUGAUUUCUAUUUGGGACACGACAUGUUGGAGCCUCAACAUGGCGUGUUGGCAGCUUGGAAGGAAACCCUAAUUUUUAGGGUGUUGCACCCUAUUUAAAGGCUUUAUGUCCCCUUGUGCGGCCUCCUUGCCAGCCUCCCUUGUUGUGUGAAACCCUAAAUCGAGUUUGAGCCUCCUUGGUAGUGUUUUUGGAUAUUUUGAGUGAAUCCUUGUGGAUUCUUGUGUUCUUUUGAAGGAGUCUUGGAGUUUAAAGGUGCCUAGCUUGGAAGGAAGGUAUUAGAUCCAAAAUCUCACCACUUGUGGUAGUCUUCUUGAGGUAUCAUGUUUGAACUUUGAUCUUUAGAUGUUUAGAUCUCCUUAUUUCCAUGUUUCCUUUUUGGGUGGUUGGAGGAGUUUGGUCAUUUUGAGGACUUGUCAUUUCAGAUCUGCGUUUAUCUUGGCCUUCUUAUGCUUAAACUUGCAAGCUUUAUGUGUGGAAUUGGCUCCAUGCAUGCUUUAAGUUCAUUUUUAAGCUUAAUAGCUCCUUUUUGGUAUGCACAAAUGUAAAGCUGGAAAAUUUAUGUGAUUUUCUAGCUCCAUUAGGUCAGAUCUUUAUUUUGGGACUUAGAAUCGCGAGUUAAGUGCUUCUUGGAUUAAGCCUUGUGCUUUUAUGCCUUGGGUUUGGGUUUUGGACCCUUAUUGGUGAUCCCGAUGGGUAAAGUUGGAAACUUUACUCUUUUAAUUCCUUUUGGAGUCGAGAUCUGAGGUUGGGAACUUUUGAUGUUGAAGGAAACGACUUAAUAUAUUAAGUUGUUGGAGAGGAACACAACGUGUUUUCGAGAAAACACGACGUGUUGGAUGGGACUUUCCCGCCUGUAUCGAUAAAGGGGAAACACAACAUGGUCAAAAGAAACCACGGUAUGUUGCGUCAACACGGACCGUUGAAAUUGACUUUUGACUUUUGCCUUUGACCAAGUUUGACCAAUAAGGGGUAUUGGGACAUUUUGAGUUGGAUCUAAGGAUAAUUGUUUCUGUUUAGGGUUUUGGUUGAGCUGAUAUUCGGAGUCGGUACCUAUUCAGCUAUCGUUCAACAUUCGAGGUGAGUUUCCUCAUUGGGUUUAGCGGUUCUAAGGCACCAAUGCCGGUCCUUGUUGAUAUGUUAGGAUGCUAGGAGUCUGCGUGACCAUUGUAUGUGUUAUAUGUGUACCGGGCAAGGUUCGAUGCCAGGUGAGGCCUGAGGACUAGAGCAUAUGUUAUUGUUAUUGAUUUCUAUAUGUGAUAGUAUGAUUAUAUGUGUAUAGCGGGCGAGGCUCAGUGACAGGCGAGGCCUGAUAUCGGGCGAGGCCCAAGGUCGGAUGGUGGGCCCAAUAUGUGAUUUAUUAUGUAUGGUAUGUGGUACCUUGGGGAACUUGCUAAGCUUUGUGCUUAUAGUUUCUAGUUUAUGUUUUAGGUACUUCCAGUUGCAGGGGGAAGAGCCUAGGUUGAUUGCAUCACACACACUAUUGGGAUUCCGCAUUUGUUAUUUACUCUGAUUUUGAUAUCAUUUGAUACAUUGGUUUCAUUGAGACAUAUGGAUGAUGUUUGAAAAUAUAAUACUUUAAUUAUUAUAAAAAUGAAAUUUUGGGACCAUAUUUUUGGAUGUUACAGUACCAUUACGAAUUGACGAUGGAUAAAUUCCAAGAUUUUAACUAUUCCUCCCUACAAGUUUUCUAAUAUAGAGCUUAAUGAUUCACUGUAUGAUACCAUACACCGAUAAAAUUUUGAAACUUUGUGCUGAUGGUUAAGCUAUGUACCAUAGUUUAUCACACACACCAACCCAUUCUUGCCCUUAAUUCUUCUUAAAAGCUUUAUGAUUCAAUGUCAAAAGCUAGCUAUUGAUGAGAACUUGAAAAAUCUAUGCCGAUGGGUAUAUCUUGUACCGUGAUAUACUACACACACCUACCCACUCUAGCCUUUUUUCUUUUAAUAAAAGUAGUUAAUGAUUCAACGUAUAAAACCAUAUGUUGAUGAGACUAUGCAAAUCUAUGUAAGUGAUCUACUAUUGCAACAUAACAAUAAUGUGAUACAACGAAUCCUAUCUUAUCCUUUAACUUUAUUUGAUGUUUUCUUUCGUUUCAGGAUAAUUGUUGUCUUCUUUAAAAAAAAGGAAGGCACCGAUUAUUAAAGUUGUCAAAAAAAAGAGGAGAAAUGUUUACUUCUGCUAUGUUGUCACUUGAUCAUUCAUAGAAUAUCAGACACUCUUGAAAGAAGAAGGUUAUACAUCUAAGGGGGUGAAAACUCAGAUGUUGUUUAUUGUAACGCCUGUGUUUCUAGGUUAAUCAUUAAUGACGAUGUAAUAGUCUAGGUCAACCAUUAUAACUUGUUUUGAAGUAAUUAAAAUGAAUUAUUUGAGUAUUAUGUGAAUUUAUGUGCUUUAUACUUAAUUAUGACGAUAUGAUAACUUAAGGAUAAAAAUAAGUGUCAAAAAUAAAAUGUUAGAUAAACCCGAUAUCCAUGAAGAAAUUUGUAGUGGUUGUAACAAGGGUUACAGAGAUAUAAAGAACGCUGAAAUCCGAGUUAUAACGAAGAAGUUAUGACCUGUCGAAGUUUUGUGACAAAACCGGCACGUCACCGGGAAUCGUAAAAAGUGAGUUUAUGAUUGAGUACUUUUUAGCUUUAGGAUUCUAGAUGAAAGUUGUAGAGCACGUCUCCACCUUUGUGUGGAUAUAAAUAACGUCAAAAAUGGAGCUCGUAUGCAAAAGUUAUGGCCUUCUGAAUAUGUAGCUGUCUGAGAGCGUGACACAUGUCAGAAACCCUAAAUCUGAAUGAGCUCACGACGUGAGCAUUGAUAUUCACGACAUGAGGAGUCAAAAAAGCCACAUUUCAAAGCUAGAAGUCACAUGGAAAGUCUACGGAGUGAUCAGUCAAAAGCUCACGACGUGAGCAAUGGAUUUCUCACGACGUGAGGAGUUAAACGGACACUAUGCAAGCCUAGAAUGCAGAUGGCGAAGCUACGAGGUGAUCAGCCUUGGGUCACGAUGUAACUAAUUAAUACUCACGACAUGAGAGUCCAAAUUUUGGAUUAUAAAUUGAAGGCUCGCCUUCUUUGUUCUGGUUACAAAAACACAUCUUUCUCUCUCAUUUGUUGAAGCCAUUCCGCGUCCUGAGCUCGACGAUCACGAAUCGUUGACCAUUUUUAGUUGGAUUCUAUCGGCUCACAAUACUAACGUGAGUGCAUAUUAUUUUCAUCUUACACAUAGAUAUGAAAUAUUUUAUAUAAAUUACGUGCUAUGUGUAUAUAUUAUUUGUUUACUUGAUAUAUAUAUGUUGGAUGAACGUUUUAUACAGGUUUUAAAUGAUUUAAACUGUAUAUGUAUUUUAUAUCUAUAAUAAUGUUAGGGUAAAAAAUGGGUAGAUGUAACAGAUGAUGUGUGAUAAAAUGAUGAGACGCCUCAAUGUUGACGAUGAUCCAGUCAUCUAGCGGAUUAUAGAUGGCGAUCCCGAACUAUUCUAGACAAUCUAGUGGAACGCUAGUAGGCUCACAACCUAUAGAUGUUUGUGAAUGAUAUGUUCACUAAUGUACUCCAUCCCCCUCAUGGUUGCCUUACAAACAUUUAUCGGUGAGAAAUCCCCUUUGCAGUAGUGUCCAUCCUGAUGAAAAUCCUUAGGAUAUGUCCCUUAUAUUUUAGGGACAUAAAGUGAGGAUAACAGGAACGGGUAAUCGGGUUGUUUUGGUUUGAUGAAAUUAAUAAAUUUAUUUAUUGUGGGUUGAAAACCCUAUAUGCUCACUAGGCUCCCAAGCCUGACCCACUCAAUUUUCUUUGUAUUAUAGGUAGUGGCACAAGAGCAUAGUUUGACGAUCUGAUGAGAUAUUAUGGAUUUAUAGACCAGCAGAAAUAAAUAGAAUAUUUGUAAGGUUUAUGUUAUUUUGAGGCCUGUGUUGCUUAUAUUGUACUAUUUAUGAUUUUGAUCUGUAUCGAACAUGACAUCCCGAAGUUUUAAUAUAAUGAAAUACAUUUCUUCGGAAAUGGUUUGAUAAAUCUUUAUCAUAUUAUCUUUUGGCAACAAAUUACGCAAUAUAUUUCUUUAAAAAUAUACUCUGAUUUUUAAACAAAGCAUAAACAUAUCGGUCCUUUUUUCACCGUGACAUUGGGGAUGUCACAGUUGGUAUCAGAGCAUUAGUUUAAACGAACUAGGAAAUUUGUAGGAUUUAUAGACUUAAACUUAGAAUGCUAAGCGAUGAUUGUGAGAUGAGUGUCUUCUAUGUGUUGGACACGAGCACUAGUUUAUUUUUGGAAAGAUGCCUAAAAUGCUUUUAUGUGCUAACUCCUAUAUGUUUGCCAUAUAUGCUAUUAUUUGUUCGAAUCUAUGGUCUGUUUCCAACCGAAUCUGGAAACUUUAUGUGUUAAGGAUUCUAAAUGUAUAAGCUAUGAUAUUAGAACUAGCAUGUAAACGUUUCAGACGGAUAAAGAAGAUUUCAACGUCUAUCGUGAAUAAAGAUCUAAAUUCUCCUAAUUUGUUGUAUAUAUCAAAAUGGCAAGAACCGGAAGCGGAGUUGCAAACAAAAAAGAAAACAAAAAUCAGCAGCCUCAAUCCCAUGUGAUUGAGCAAGCGUUGAUAGUAGAAUUUGCACCUGAUCCAGUCACAAUGGAUGGAUUAGAAGCCAUGAUUCAGGCAAUAAUGGCCGAAUAGAGGGAAGAGAUGAGGUAGAUGUUGCUAAAGAACUGGGAUGAACCUACGAUGCCUGUUGAAAAACUGGAACUGAAUGAUGGACAAUCAGAUGAUGGGAACUACAAUAGGACCAUUGGUCAAACUGAACCGCAAGUGGUUGGAGAGAAUAACCAAUGUGGAGGGAAUGAUGGGCGUGGAUGUAAAUACAAGGAUUUUAUGGCAUCCAAACCACCAUGUCUUUUUGGAAGCCCAAAACCGGUACAAGUUAUGGACUAGAUCUCUGAAAUGGAGACAAUGUUUGAAAGUUGCGAAUGCAACAACAGAAAGAAGACCACUCUCAUGAUUCCUCUAUUAAAAUAUGGAGUAUUGAGCUGGUGGAAGCUACUAGCUAAUACGAUGCCCAAGGAAGAAGCAAGAAAGAUGUCUUGGGAAGAUUUCCUGGUGCAACUGAAGAUGCAAUAUUGCUCUGAGAAGGAUCUUCCAGAAAUCAAUAAUGAGUUCCAGAAUCUGACAAAAGGAAAAUUUAGUGUCAUAGAGUACGCUACUAGUUUACAAAAAAGAUGAAGCUUGUUACUUAUCUGGUUCAAACUGAACUCUCCAAAGUUAACAACUUUACCAACGGAUUACCAGCGAAAUUUGUUCUGAUGGUCAAGCAAGCAACCACUCUGAAAGCCGCUAUCUGGGCUGCUAAGAAUGUUGAGACCUAAAUAAGGGAGAAAGGUCUGGAAGGAAAUAAGGUGGGUUAGAAAAGAAAGUUUGAGGGAUCUUCGAGGUCCAACAAGAAAAGUAAAUUAUCGAAGUCUAGUUCAAGAGGAGGAGAAGGCGAAGUGAAAUGGUGUGACAAGUGCAAGAAGUAGCACUUUGGGAAAUGUGAUAGGGAAGUCACUUGUUUUAAGUGUGGAAAGCUUGGGCACUACGCUAAUGAGUGCCCAAUCAACAAGAAAGUCUGUUAUGGGUGCAACAAGGAAGGGAAAAUUUUAAGGGACUGCCCAAAGAAGAAAGAGGCAACAAGGCCCAAUGUUACACCAAAGCCAAAAGCCAUAGCAUUCCAGAUGACACUGGAAGCCACAAAGGAUAUAGCAGAUGCCGCUUCAGGCACCUUUCUAGUAAAUGGAUUGUCUGCCAAUAUACUUUUUGAUUCGGGAGCAACUACUCCUUCGUAUGAAAUAAAUUUGGUGGAAGAUUAGCAUUGCCUGUAGAUAAACUUGAUAAUGUUCUAGUUGUAGAAGUUGCCAGUGGUAAAUUCAUACAUGUUAGCGACUAUAUUAAGAACGUCGUCAUCGACUUGAAUGGAAACGAAUUCCACUAGGAGGUGCUACCCAUUGAGUUGAAUAGUUUCGAUAUCGUAUUGGGAAUGGAUUGGCUUAGCGCCAAGGAUGUCGAGAUGCUGUGCCAGAAGAAGAUAGUAAGAGUGAACUCGCUUGGAAAAGAUUCAUUUAUGGAGUAUGGGGACAAACGCAAAGUAAAUUCUGGAAUCAUUUCCCUGAUAAAAGCCAGAAAAAUGUUUGUCCAAAGGAUGCACAUCAUACUUGGCACUUGUGAUCGAUGCUAAGAAGGAGAAAAAGGAGAUGCAAAAUAUAACAGUGGUGUGUGACUAUCCAGAACUCUUUCUCAAAGAUCUUCCUGGAUUGCUCCCUGAUAGACAAGUGGAGCUUCGAAUAGACUUGUCGCCAAGAUCGACACCAAUAGCAAAAGCACCAUACUGAUUAGUACCGACGGAGAUGAUGGAGGUUAUGACGCAACUUCAGGAGUUGUUGGACAAAGGUUUCAUUAGACCAAGUUCAUCACCGUGGGGAGCUCUGAUGUUAUUCGUGAAGAAAAAGGAUGGAAGCAUGAGAAUGUGCAUUGACUACAGAGAGUUGAAUAAGGUAACAGUGAAGAACAAAUAUCCAUUGCCAAGGAUUGAUGACCUGUUCGAUUAGCUGCAAGGUUUGAUAUAUUUCUCAAAGAUCGAUCUUAGGUCAGGAUAUCAUCAGCUGAAGGUGAGAGAGCAGGAUAUCGAGAAGACUGCAUUCAGAAUAAGAUAUGGACACUAUGAGUUCUUGGUUAUGUCAUUUGGACUAACCAAUGCUCCAGAAACAUUUAUGGAUUUGACGAAUAAGGUUUGUAAACCAUUACUUGAUAAAUGUGUGAUAGUGUUCAUAGAUGACAUUCUAAUUUACUCAAAGAGCCAGCAGGAGCAUGGCAAGCAUUUACAAGAAGUGUUAGAAGUAUUGAAGAAGGAGAAGUUGUACGCAAAGUUCUCCAAAUGUGAUUUUUGGAUUCAAGAAGUCCAAUUAUUGGGUCAUGUGGUUAACCAAGAAGGGAUCAUGGUUGACCCAACGAAGAUUGAAGCGAUGAUUAAGUGGGAACAACCGAAAAGUCCCACGGAGAUCCGAAGCUUUCUGGGAUUAGCUAGAUACUACCGAAGGUUUAUCCACGACUUUUCUUCGAUAGCUGCUCCAUUAAUAGCUUGGACCCACAAAGGAGUCACUUAUACAUGGAGUGAAAAACACAAAGAGGCAUUUGGAAAGUUAAAGAAGUUGUGUGAAGCACCAAUUCUUUCUUUACCGGACGGAGUUGAAGACUUCGCAGUCUAUAGUGAUGCAUCAAGAUUUGGGUUAGGUUGUGUUCUGACCCAACGAGAUAAGGUGACAUCAUAUGCAUCAAGACAACUAAAAGAGCACGAAAAGAACUACCCCACUCAUGAUCUGGAGUUGGCAGCGGUAGUAUUUUCCCUAAAGAUAUGGAGGCAUUAUCUCUAUGACACGAAGUGUAAACUUUUCAUUGACCAUAAGAGUCUCCAGUAUCUCUUUAAUCAAAAGGAAUUAACAUGAGACAAAGGCGCUGGCUAGAGUUGCUUAAGGAUUACAAAUGUGAAAUAUUUAUCAUCCUAGUAAAGCAAAUGUCGUAACUAAUGCUCUAAGCCGAAAAGUGAGCCUUAAAAGGAAAAGUCCAUGAGCAUUAAGAAUUUAAGUUGUCUCAACGAUUGUGGAAAGCAUCAAGAAAGCUCAAGAAGAAGCUUUUGAGAAAAAUAACCAGAAGGAAGAAUGUUUAGGCAAAACGUUGGUGUUCGGCACAAACAAUCGAGGGCUGAAGGUAUUCCAAGAUAGGAUUUGGGUACCUAAGACGGGAUGAAUAAGAGAUCUUCUGAUGGAAGUAGCUCACAAGACCAUGUAAUCGAUUCAUCCAGGUAACACAAAAAUGUAUAGGGAUCUGAAACACUACUACUGGUGGCUGAAGAUGAAGAUCAAUAUUGCAAAGUAUGUGGCCGAGUGUGUAACAUGUGUGAGUGUUAAGGCGCAAAAUCAGAAACCGUAUGGGAUUUUAGAACCUUUACCUGUACCCAUGGGUAAAUGGGAAGACAUCACGAUGGAUUUUGUCACUAAACUUCCCAGAACAAAGAACGGUCACGAGAUGAUUUGGGUGGUCUUUGAUCGAUUCACUAAGAGUGCACACUUCAUAGCAACCAAUGAAAUAUGGUCUAUGGAUAAGCUUGAAAAUGCUUACAUGAAGGAGGUAGUGAUACUACACGUGUACCAUUAACGAUUGUAUCAGAUCGUGAUAGUCGUUUCAUGUCAAGGUUUUAGAGAAGUCUACACGAGGAACUGGGUACAAAGUUGUGUCUAAGUAGAGCUUACCAUCCGCAGACUGAUGGUCUGAGCGAAAGAAUGAUUCAAACACUUGAAGAUAUGUUAAGAGCAUGUACCUUAGAAUUCCAAGGUCAUUAGGAUGAACACUUACCUCUGGUAGAGUUUUUCUACAAUAAUAGUUUCCAUUUGAGCAUCGAGAUGGCACCUUAUCAAGCCUUGUAUGGACAGAAGUGUCGUACGCCAUCUUGUUGGCUUGAAGCUAGAGAAACGCAGUUUAUGGUCCCCGAGAUAGUCCAUCAAACUACUGAAAAGUUGAAAGUGAUUAGGGAAAGGAUGCUAGUAGCUUAGGAUCGUCAAAAGAGCUAUGCUAAAAACAAAAAACGACCAAUGACAUUCGAGGUUCGAGAUUCGGUUUUACUUAAAUUCUCACCAUGGAAGGAACUUAUAAGAUUUGAGAAAGGGGGAAGUCGAGUCCAAGAUUUAUCAGACCAUUCAAAGUUCUUUAGAUGAUUGGGAACCAAGCUUACAAGCUCGAACUACCAGAAGAACUGGAUGAUAUCCAUAACACCUUUCAUGUUUGUUAUUUAAGGAAGUUCACGGGUGAAGUUACUAAUAUGAUUCCACUUUUAGAGUUAAGAAUCUACGAGAACAAGAGGUUGGUUGAAGAACCUGAAGCAAUUGUUGACCGUAUGACAAAAAAGUUUCGAUGCAAGAUGGUCGACUUAGUGCUUAUGCGUUGGAAACAUACGGAUGGGCCAAAUCUCAACUGGGAAAUGGAGUGUGAAAUGAUUAGUCGCUAUCCGCAUUUGUUUGCUGAUGCAUGAUUCCGAGACGGAAUCAUCUUAAAGGGGAGAGAAUUGUAACACUCGUGUUUCUGGGCUAAGAAUUAAUGACGAUGUAAUAGUCUAGGUCAACCAUUGUAAAUCGUUUUGAAGUAAUAAAAAUGAAUUAUUUGAGUAUUAUGUGAAUUUAUGUGUUUUAUACUUAAUUAUGAUGAUAUAAUAAAUUAAGGAUAAAAAUAAAUGUCAAAACUAAAAUGUUAGAUAAACCCAAUAUCUAUGAAGAAAGUUGUAGUGUUUGUGAAAAUGAUUCCGAAGAUAUAAAGAACGCUGAAAUCCAAGUUAUAACGAAGAAGUUAUGAUGUGUCGAAGUUUCACAACAAAACGGGGCACGACACCGGGAAUCGUAAAAAGUGAGUUUAUGAUAGAAUAAUUUUUAGCCUUAGGGUUCUAAAUUAAAGUUGUAGAGCACGUCUCCACCUUCAUGUGGAUAUAAAGAACGAAAAAAAUGGAGCUCGUAUGCAAAAGUUAUGGCCUUCCGAAGAUGUAGCUUUCUGAGAGCAUGGCACAUGUCAGAAACCCUAAAUCUGACUGAGCUCACGACGUGAGCAUUGAUAUUCACGAUGUGAGGAGUCAAAAUGCCACAUUUUGAAGCAAAAAGACGCUUGGCAAGUCUACAGAGUGAUCAGUCAAAAGCUCACGACGUGAGCAAUGGAUUUCUCACGAUGUGAGGAGUCAAACUGUGACAACCCGAAAUUUCCAUUCUGAACAAACCACUUGAAGCCAAUAGAAGUAGAACAGUUACAGUGAAAACUCAGAUUUCGAGUAUAAGUUUGGCAGUUUUCAGGAUUUUUACACUUAAGGAUAUAUUAGGAGAGUGGAUGCACUAGGGUUUUGUGCAACACUGUUAUUCCAAUACUCUAGGACAUUAGAGUUCGUUCCAGGAAUAAAAAUAAUUUCUGCCAAAAAUAUCUCAGGACUGUAAAUAGAAUUCUGAACCAAAUUGGUUCAUUUGUUGAAUUCCAUUUAGAGAAAAGUCAAAAUUCUCUCUCACUGAUCUUUGGGUUUUUAUCCCAAAUUAUGAGUACUUCGAUCUAGUUAUGUUACAUAGCUUAGAUGGUGUUUAGAAACAUCAAUUUCAUUACAAAACAACUAGACUCGGGAGUUUACCGCCCAAGAACGUUCUUGGGGAGUAAACUCCAAUAUGUGGCUUAAAUGCUACUUAGUCCUUUCCCCGUGAUUUGUAACUACCUUAGACUUGUAUGCUAGUGUGUAUAUGACUAGAAAACAUCAAAAUCGGAUUAAGACCCCAAGAUUUGGGAGUUUACCGCCCAAGAACACUUGGGGAGUAAACUCCAUUUUAAGGUCCUAAGGGGUUCCAAUGACCCUCAAAGCCUUGGAACUCAAACUAGAAGCCUCCAUUUCAUGCUUUAGACCACAAAACAAUUAGGAAUCAUGGCUAGAAGUGAGUUCACGGCCAAGGAGCUUCUUAUAUCGUGAACUCCAUGUUUAAGUGCCAAAAUGCUUUAAAACACUUCCUAAGGCUUAGGCUUAAACUAGGACAAGUACCCUAAAGUGUUUAAAGCCUAGAAAACAUAAGGAAUCACACGUGUUAAGGAGUUUACGGCAGAGACAAGUUCUUGGGCCGUAAACACCUAUAAAGGGGUCAAAUGGCACCCUAACUCCUUCCUUAUGCCUAAAACCCAACAUAGAUCAUUACCUUGAAAUGUUUGAGACUUGAAAACACCAUAAACACCCUCCUAAGGGAGUUUACGGCCGUAAACUCCAAGGGAAUAUGGUCCCAAGGCCGUAAACUCCUUAAAGGAGUUAAUAUGACACCCAAACACUUGUUUAAACCUUGGAACAAUUUACCACUUGAGUUGUAACAACUUUAAGCCUCAAUUAAUGACCCAAUGUAGAGUUUACGGCCAGGAGUUUACUCCCCUGGGCCGUAAACUCCAAAGAAUAUGGUCAUUAGACCUUAAACUCCCAUUUGAGGUAUUACACUCCUUUGUUGCAACCCAUUAGCCUCCUAGCACUUGACCAAAAGUGUUUUCCUCGCGUUUAAAUGUUUAUACUUGUAUAAUUAGUGUUUUAAUCACUAAUUAUUUAUAUACAUAUGUCUUCAUAUGUAAUUAGGAUCAUUGUGUGUGUCUAAAGUCUUCACUUGACACCAAGCACUUGUCCGAUCCUUCCUUACGAUAACAGUCCGUUCAAUUCCAGUCACUUACUGCAGGUGAGUUCAUACCCCUUAAAUAAUGUUUUAAACUAUUUUUAAAUGUUUUAUGGGGGGAAUACAAGUAGAACCAUGCUAGUUAUUAUAUCAAUCACAUGUGAUUAAUAUGCAACAUUCAAAUGAUUUACUACACAUUAGCCGUUUUACCAAACAGUUUCCUUCAAAUGAUUUUUAUAAACAUUUUAUAUGUUUUAAACUCUUUAUUACACUGUACAUUUUACUCUGUAUAUCACAUUUCAAAGUUAUUUACAACUGUGUUUCAAACAAAUGUUUCCUUAUACUUAAACUGUUUUAUCAAACCUAUGCCUUCAAACUGUUUUAUAGAUUGACAUCGAGUCGAUCUUUUCUAAAGAUAAUAAUUAUGUUCAAAUGGUUUACAAAACUUAUUUAUGCUUUUAUAUUAUAAAUUGCAUGCCUCUAUAUGUAUAGUUAUAUAAGAAAUGUUUAAAAGACUUAGGAAGGCUAUCCACCCUAUUUCCUUUUCGCGCUUGAGAUGUGGUCUGGUGGGAUAUCGGGUACUCGUCCGAAGGUCGUUUAAAUAUUAGUUAUAUAUCAUGUGUACAUAUAUAGUCAUAAAAGGUCCUUCCAGUUCAUCCCAUGCCCUUGGGUAGCAAGGGUAUACAUCCAUGUCCAUACGUACCAGUUAGAUUACUAGUAAACUACCAUAUGGGUAGUUUAGGAAGAUACUAGAACUAUUACUAGAACGCGAUAUCAUACUAUGAGUCAGUUCAUUCAUGAGUCAAUACUUACUACUAGAAGAACAUAUACAACUAUACUAGAGAAGAACAUAUACAACUAUACUAGAGAAGAACAUAUACAACUAUACUAGAAAGAGAACAUAUACAACGAUACUAGAACGAUUACAUUACUAUACUUGCUAGGUAGAGAGCACGUACAUUACAGCUAGAACAGUUCAUUACAUUACAUAUACAUGAAUACGUUAAUAAUUGUGAUCCACUGUAUCGGAGCAUGCCUUAAAUGUCAUGGCCCGAGUUGUAGCCAGAAUUCUCUUGGAGGGAGAGCGUGAGUUUGCGUAUAGAUCUAUACUGGAUUGACUAUCCUACACCUUGCUGCUAGCUACAGCCGGACCUGCAGGUCUGCGGGUGCCAAACGUCAUUCCGUUAUUACGACCAUUCGUUAUGUCGUUGUUACCAGUCGAUAGUAUGGUGCAAUUAAUCACAUGAUGCCUUAAUAUAAAUCCGGUUUAAGGUAGUUAGUACAGCAGUAGUUCUUAUAGCGCUACGUUUUAGUACUACAUUAAUUUUCCCUGUACAUAUAUUUAGUGAUCUUUUCACUUAAACUAUAAAUGUAAAAACUAUAUUUUGUUAAUAAUAGUUACACUUGGGAAAAUUACACACUUUUACAUGACACGAACAUUGAGAACAGUUAGGUCUUGGUAGAAGACACCCUUAUAUAAUAGUAGGAAUCAUAGGGAUUUCUAGAGUUUUUCAAACGUUUACAGUUGUUUUACAAACAUUUUCAUACUUACAGUUCAUAUACAUUUUCAAUACUUACAAUUCAUUUACUUACAAAUUCUUACAUACAAAUUAAGACACUAAAUACUUAUGAUCUCACCAGCUUCAAAGCUGAUACUCGCUUUCAAAAUUACUUGUAUCCUCAGGUCAUCAUAGACAGGUACCGAUGCAAGGAGAAAGGAAGAUGGAGCUUGUUCAAGACUCAUCUUUCAUUUUGAUUUAUGCUUUAGUGUUUAUCAAAAUUUGACAGAACACAUUUGUAUAAUAAUUAUAUUAUUAAUGCAAUGGAUGAUGUUGUUGCUUGUUUACUACUUUUCAUUGUUGUGAUACUGUACAUGACGUCCUCCGCCCCAGAACGUUUCCGCCGUUCUUGGUUUUGGGGUGUGACAGAUUGGUAUCAGAGCAUUGUUUAUAGUGAAUUAAGUAUAUCAACCCAUAAAAGAUAUACUAACUAUAAAUACAUAAGGGAUUAAAAAUACUCUGACCAAGAGUUUAUACUUUAAAUAAUAAAAUAUUUAAGUAAGUAUACGUGCUUGCAUUCAUACUAAAAUCAGUGUCACUAGGACAGUACAAAAGAAUUACGAUUGUUGGGCAACACAAGUGGGCUUAGAGACAUAUGGUCAAAACUGGGAAGAUAUAGCCUGAUCACCUAUAUUAUCCGAGGGUUGACUAGCAUGUGCCUAAGUUUAAUUGUGUGGUUGCAACAAUGCUAAAAUCUUACCAACCCUACCACAAUGAGAACAAUAGAACAUAACAUUAAAAUUAAAAUACUAUAGGAGUAUUUGGUGUUACUAUAAGUACUUUAUACUUGAGAACUAAAACGGGAUCUUCAUUACUAAGUUGAUAGUUGCUAAGUGGAUACACUAAGGCUAUAUGUAAUUAGGAUGUUAUAGACUUAGAAUCUGUGGAAAUUUUACUUCACCCCUAUUCUGUGUGAAUACGGAGUUAAGGUCACUUAUUCGAAGGUCUAUCCUGUUUAGAUUACACAUAGCUGGUAUGCACUUCACAAAUAGCGAUGUAACUAAUGAAGGUUUUCUAAAUAAUUAUCUAGAUAGUUCGUCUAAUAAUUAUUCUCUUACCCUAAAUUCUCGCAUAGAAAACAUAGCUGGACUCCAUCCCCUCGGCAACCAGUAUCUUCCGAAUGAAGUCAUAGCUGGUUGGUUUGGAGAAGAACCAGAGAAUGAUCAUCCUAUCCCCUUGAAUGAUCACCAUGAUGAAGACCUUUCGUAUGAUGCUAACUCCGAACCAGAGGUUGAGAACCUACCCCGAGCAGCUCCCUUUCCAAUUCCUAACCCUCGUCCGGCUUUUCAUGGCCCGACCCCUGAGUGGGUGGAAUGCUUGGAAACAAGGAGCCAAGGACAAGAUCAGCCCAUGCCAUUUAAUGGCGACCGAAGCUUUUACGACUUGAGCAAUGGGGGCUCAGCAGAUAGAGUCUUGCCAAUCUUGGUCCGCAGAGUGGCCCGAAAUGAGAUUCAAGGCAGGACAGCCCUACAUCAGAUUACCGAAGUUGUCGCCGAUGCGAGAAUGCAUACCCUCCGCACCAUUCGUCUAGAAGAUGCUCGCGAGAGAUCAGAGAGAAACCAUGAAACCCUGCUGCAAGCACUGGCUGAAUCACGAGCCGAAGUCAUAGAGCUCCGAGUACGCCAGAUGGUGUGCGAAAGACACCUACUUGACAUGGAACGUCAAUUGGCUGAACUAAGAGUUCACCAGAGGGAUGACCGUCGCCAGUAGUAGACGCUUUACUUUAUUUCUUUAUUAAAAGGGAUCGUGUUUUCUGUCUAUGCCCGAUGUGGCAUUUUCCAUGAAAUUAUCUUGUACCGUAAGUACUUUUAGUUAGGUCCUUAUGCUGUCAGGAACUAUCUUCUGUGGAUAUGAUGUAAGACCUUUACAAGGUCAUUUUCCAGAAUCUUUACAUCGUGAAUAUCAAAGAUAUUGACAGCCGGCUAACUUCUGUGUCAUUCUUCAUUCAAGUACUCUUAUCAUACUUUCAUUGGGGUCUAUCUGAAACAUGCUUUAGUCAAGUCAUUGGACUAUAGUGAUUUAUCUCCGGAGACAUUUCCAAGUCUCUUUCAGUGGUUGGAUCUUGUUAUUCACCAACCCACGAUACCUCGGCUUGAACAACAAACGUCUUGAGACCAUUCUACGAACUUACUUCUACUCAUUACUAGGACUGAAUCAUAGGGAUGUAGGUCAAACCUUCGCAAACAUACUUCCAUUUCGUACUAGGAGUGCAUCAUAGGGAUGUAGGUCAAACUUUCGAGAACAUAGUCGUACUCUUUACAUGAACAAUCUAAGUACAUCAAGGGUCAACCAGAAUCGCUCACAAAAUUCUUAUCUUUCGUGUUACAGAAUCAUGUCGUCAUCCGGAAGCAAUCAGUUGAACGACGAAACCUCCGCCUUUACUAUGGACGCCGCUACCUUUCAAACAGCAGUUACAGCUGCCGUGGUGNCCUGCCGUAAUCGCGGUCCUUGCGCACCGUAGCGCUAACAACACAGUCAAUGCUGCUGAUGGGAAUGAAGUUUCCAAUCGUGGUAUCCAUCCAGGAAAUCGCCAAACAGUAACAGUCAUAGGCUUGCAAAGCCGAAAAGAAGAGAACAAGAAACGAAAGCGUCAAGCCCGGAAAGAACGCAAGAGAUCCCAAAGGCUGGCUAUACAACAACAGCAAGUGGAAACCCCUACCGUUCCCAUACCGAGCAGGCCAUACAAGAGAAAACUCCCGAAGUGUGAUAAGUGUAGUUUCCAUCAUCAUGGGGCUUGCCAUGAGAUGCAAUGUUGCAAUUGCCUAAGCAUAGGGCACCAUGCUCGUGGCUGUGGAGCACCGGCACGACCCAUCACUCAAGUCCCUUUCAUCGGGACUGACCCUACACACAAGAUUAGUUAUAACGCCGAAUGAUUUAAGAAGCAAUUUUCAAAGUGGUGUAACGAGGAUGGCACUAUGUCCAAAGCUAGUACUAGCCAGUCAUGCCACCAAUGCGGUGAAAUAGGACACUUCAAGAAGGAUUGCCCUAUAGCAAAGAACUCUGGCGCAGAUGGGAAGAUUCUCAGGAUCACAGCUACGGGAGAACCUGCUCCGGAACCCACGUUAAUGUAAUUAAGGCGUUUCAUUGAAACAGACUUAUAAACUAUCUAGAACUAGUGCAACUAGAGUCUUACCUUAGCGAGAUCCUGUCUGUAUAGGGAUUCUCGUGCUGCGUAUACUUUUCUUUUGUAGUAUAUCUUAUUCGCAGCAAUAGUCUUGUGGUAAAUCUAAAGUAUUGUAACUCUGUUCAUGGUUGCACGGUUGUGUUUUGUCUGUAAACGUCUUAUGUUCAAAUCUAAUGUCUUUAAGUUUCAGUAUGAUUCCGACAUUAUCAUACGACUCGAUUCAAUUUGAUCCUCACGAAAACAGCUUCAUACGUACAUCUCUUUCUUCUAGAUCACUUUUCUAGCGAAGCCGUCAUAUCAGAACACCGAAGUACUCAUGCCAGGAGUACCUCUUAGUUAUUUUCUUUCCGAAGAAAUCCCCGAAGUACCACUCGUGCAGUGCAUCAAGUUUAAUCCAAGGAUUCAUGCAAUUGAUCUAUCACUAAGGAAGGUAUACAUAAGAGUGAUAUAAAAUCAAGCUUCUACAAGUUUAGAAUUGAUGAUUCCACUUUAACUUCUUUUUCCCCGAUGGAAUGUGAGCUUAAAUAGGAAUCAGUUAUUCGACUACCUUUUCAAUCUUAAUUAUAUGCGACUCGUAUACCCGAAGUUGUGAUUGUGAAACCAUGUAUGAAUUCUAAUAUGAACUUCAGGAUGGAGAACUGCUCAAGACUAAGAGUAAUCACAUCAUCAUGUGAACAAACUUAGAACCCAGUACGACUCGUGUAAACAGAUCGCCCUAUAGUUCAAACACCUACGGAGAUACAAGAACAGUCCGGACAACUUAGCGAACUACACAAAAAUAGAAUUAGAAGAUUAGGUUUCUCACCCUAGAGAACCCCGGUCAUAUUCUUCUAGAGAUCGACGGAUCGCAUUGUAUGUACCUCGGUUAUCGAGGACUCCGUCAAGAUUUUUCAUUAGGAAUCACCAUCUCUGCCUCGCAUAGAUGAAAUGGUUGAGCAAACGCAAGGAAAGAAUUACUUUCAGAAAUGGAGCUGAGAUCUGAAUAUCACCAGUUUGAGUGUUAGAGAAGGAUGUCUGUAAGACUAUCUUCCGAACUCGAUACAGAAACUUCGAGUCCGUAGUGAUACCCUUUCGGAUAGGACCAAUACACCCAUAGGUUUCAUGAGCUAAACCAAUAGGGUACGUCUUUCUUUCUAGGAUCAGUUCGUCAUUUCUCCAUGUAAUGACUUACUUAUCUACCCUCGUAGUAAGAAGAAAACCCAUGGAGACAUUUCCUACAGAGGAACUUUUAGCGAAGUUCUCUAGGCACGAGUUUUGGAAAUUGAAAAGUCAAAUUUCUAUGACACACUGUUAGUAAUGUGGGAAAUUAUGAGCACUCUUUCAAUUUGUCAAAACCGUUGAGCAUUUAUCGACACCAGAGACGCCGACAGUCUUUCGCCAAAUUCUAGGUCUUACCGACCUACCGUCUUAGUUCAUUCAAAACUCCUCGAAAAAUUACAAAAACCCGUACGAUUUUGACCCAGCAAGGGGUGGCCUUUGUCUGGGAGGUUAAACAAGAAAAAGAAACCUUGGAGAUUCCAAGUGAGUUUAGGUUAACUCACUAUGGGAAUGGCUUAAUACGCUUCGUAUCGCGUGGAAAGCUACAUCCAAUAUAGUUAGGACCUCCGAGAUUCUCAUCAGAAUCGGUCUUGUGUCUCACACAAACUAGACCUACUCCGCGAACUCAGUAACGUACAUCCUACUCUUCGCAUCUCGAUCGUGAAACCAUACCUUUCCGUCAGGACUCUUGUAAGUUCACUCGUCGAGAUCCUCGCCUUUGUAUUAGAACCGUAGUGACCGUCGACCGAGAGGUCAAGCGGACGAAGCUACGUCGUCGCCAGUUAGUGAAGGUUUGUUGGAAUGCCAACCGAGAACCCGAUUUCACUUAGGUGCGCUAGAACCAAUCGAUUAGGAAGUUUCCUCCUCACGACUCGAUCAUUCGUGCAUACUUCCUUGCCUAAAUUCUAAUUUCGGGACGAAAUUCCCUUCAACAGGGGGAUGAUGUGACAACCCGAAAUUUCCAUUCUGAACAAACCAUAUCAAGCCAAUAGAAGUAGAACAGUUACAGUGAAAACUCAGAUUUCGAGUAUAAGUUUGGCAGUUUUCAGGAUUUUACACUUAAGGAGAUAUUAGGAGAGUGGAUGCACUAGGGUUUUGUGCAACACUGUUAUUCCAAUACUCUAGGACAUUAGAGUUCGUUCCAGGAAUAAAAAUAUUUUCUGCCAAAAAUAUCUCAGGACUAUAAAUAGAAUUCUGAACCAAAUUGGUUCAUUUGUUGAAUUCCAUUUAGAGAAAAGUCAAAAUUCUCUCUCACGGAUCUUUGGGUUUUUAUCCCAAAUUGUGAGUACUUCGAUCUAGUUAUGUUAUAUAGCUUAGAUUGUGUUUAGAAACACCAAUUACAUAUCAAAUCUGUGAGACUCGGGAGUUUACCGCCCAAGAACGUUCUUGGGGAGUAAACUCCAAUAUGUGGCUUAAAUGCUACUUAGUCCUUUCCCCGUGAUUUGUAACUACCUUAGACUUGUAUGCUAGUGUGUAUAUGACUAGAAAACAUCAAAAUCGGAUUAAGACCCCAAGAUUUGGGAGUUUACGGCCCAAGAACACUUGGGGAGCAAACUCCAUUUUAAGGUCCUAAGGGGUUCCAUUGACCCUCAAAGCCCUGGAACUCAAACUAGAAGCCUCCAUUCCAUGCUUUAGACCACAAAACAAUUAGGAAUCAUGGCUAGAAGUGAGUUCACGGCCAAGGAGCUUCUUAGGCCGUGAACUUCAUGUUUAAGUGCCAAAAUGCUUUGAAAAACUUCCUAAGGCUUAGGCUUAAAUUAGGACAAGUACCCUAAAGUGUUUAAAGCCUAGAAAACAUAAGGAAUCACAUGUGUUAAGGAGUUUACGGCCAAGACAAGUUCUUGGGCCGUAAACACCUAUAAAGGGGUCAAAUGACACCCUAACUCCUUCCUUAUGCCUAGAACCCAACAUAGAUCAUUACCUUGAAAUGUUUGAGACUUGAAAACACCAUAAACACCCUCCCAAGGGAGUUUACGGCCGUAAAAUCCAAGGGAAUAUGGUCCCAGGGCCGUAAACUCCUCAAAGGAGUUAAUAUGACACCCAAACAGUUGUUUAAACCUUGGAACCAAUUACUACUUGGGUUGUAACAACUUUAAGCCUCAAUUAAUGACCCAGUGUAGAGUUUACGGCCAGGAGUUUACUCCCCUGGGCCGUAAACUCCAAAACAUAUGGUCAUUUGACCAUAAACUCCCAUUAGAGGUCUUGCACUCCUUUGUUGCAACCCAUUAGUCUCCUAGUACUUGACCAAAAAUGUUUUCCUCGCGUUUAAAUGUUUAUACUUGUAUAAUUAGUGUUUUAAUCACUAAUUAUUUAUAUACAUAUGUCUUCAUAUGUAAUUAGGAUCAUUGUGUGUGUCUAAAGUCUUCACUUGACACCAAGCACUUGUCCGAUCCUUCCUUACGAUAACAGUCCGUUCAAUUCCAGUCACUUACUGAGGGUGAGUUCAUACCCCUUAAAUGGUGUUUUAAACUAUUUUUAAAUGUUUUAUAGGGGGGGAUAUAAGUAGAAUCAUGCUAGUUAUUAUAUCAAUCACAUGUGAUUAAUAAGUAGAAUUAUGCUAGUUAUUAUAUCAAUCACAUGUGAUUAAUAUACAACAUUCAAAUGAUUUGGCUACUCAUUAGCCGUUUUACCAAACAGUUUCCUUCAAAUGAUUUUUAUAAACAUUUUAUAUGUUUUAAACUCCUUAUUACACUGUACAUUUUACUCUGUAUAUUACAUUUCAAACUUAUUUACAAUUGUGUUUCAAACAAAUGUUUCUUUAUACUAAACUGUUUUAUCAAACCCAUGCCUUCAAAUUGUUUUAUAGAUUGACAUCAAGUCGAUCUUUUCUUAAAAUAAUAAUUAUGUUCAAAUGUUUUACAAAACUUAUUUAUGCUUUUAUAUUAUAAAUUGCAUGCCUCUAUAUGUAUAGUUAUAUAAGAAAUGUUUAAAAGACUUAGGAAGGCUAUCCACCCUAUUUCCUUUUCGCGCUUGAGAUGUGGUCUGGUGGGAUAUCGGGUACUCGUCCGAAGGUCGUUUAAAUAUUAGUUAUAUAUCAUGUGUACAUAUAUAGUCAUAAAAGGUCCUUCCAGUUCAUCCCAUGCCCUUGGGUAGCAAGGGUAUACAUCCAUGUUCAUACGUACCAGUUAGAUUACUAGUAAACUACCAUAUGGGUAGUUUAGGAAGAUACUAGAACUAUUACUAGAACGCGAUAUCAUACUAUGAGUCAGUUCAUUCAUGAGUCAAUACUUACUACUAGAAGAACAUAUACAACUAUACUAGAGAAGAACAUAUACAACUAUACUAGAAAGAGAACAUAUACAACGAUACUAGAACGAUUACAUUACUAUGCUUGCUAGGUAGAGAGCACGUACAUUACAGCUAGAACAGUUCAUUACAUUACACUUACAUGAAUACGCCAAUAACUGUGAUCCACUAUAUCGGAGCAUGCCUUAAAUGUCAUGGCCCGAGUUGUUGCCAGAAUUCUCUUGGAGGGAGAGCGUGAGUUUGUGUAUAGAUCUAUACUGGAUUGACUAUCCUACACCUUGCUGCUAGCUACAGCCGGACCUGCAGGUCUGCGGGUGCCAAACGUCAUUCUGUUAUUACGACCAUUCGUAUGUCGUUGUUACCAGUCGAUAGUAUGGUGCAAUUAAUCACACUUUUACAAGAAAUGAACAUUUAGAACAAUUAGGUCUUGGUAGAAGACACGCUUUAUAUAAUAGUAGGAAUCAUAGGGAUUUCUAGGGAUUUUCAAAUGUUUAUAGUUGUUUUACAAACUUUUUUACAUUUACAGUUCAUUUACAAACAUUUUCAUACUUACAGUUCAUUUACAAACAUUUUCAUCCUUACAGUUCAUAAACUUAAAAAUUCUUACAUACAAACUAAGACACUAAAUUACUUAUGAUCUCACCAGCUUCAAAGCUGAUAUUCGCUUUCAAAAUUACUUGUAUCCUCAGGUCAUCAUAGACAGGUACCGAUGCAAGGAGAAAGGAAGAUGGAGCUUGUUCAAGACUCAUCUUUCAUUUUGAUUUAUGCUUUAGUGUUUAUCAAAAUUUGACAGAACACAUGUAUAAUAAUUAUAUUAUUAAUGCAGUGGAUGAUGUUGUUGCUUGUUUACUACUUUUCAUUGUUGUGAUACUGUACAUGACGUCCUCCGCCCCAGAACGUUUCCGCCGUUAUUGGUUUUGGGGUGUGACACAAACAGACACUAUGCAAGCCUACAACACAGAUGACAAAGCUACAAGGUGAUCAGCCUUGUCUCACGACAUGAGCAAUGAAUAAUCAGGACGUAAGAGUCCAACUUUUGGACUAUAAAUAGAUGGCUCGCCUUCUUUGUUCUAGGUACAUAAACACAUCUUUCUCUCUCUUUUGCUGAAGUCGUCCAUGUCCCGAGCUCGACUAUCACGAACUGCUGGCCGUUUUUAGUUAGAUUCUAUCAACUCACACUACUAACAUGAGUGCAUAUUAUUUUCAUCUUACACAUAGAUAUGAAGUAUUUUAUGUAAAUUACAUGCUAUGUGUGUAUAUUAUCUGUUUACUUGAUAUAUAUGCUGGAUAAACGUUUUGUACAUGUUUUAAAUGAUUUAAAUUGUAUAUGUAUUUUAUAUCUACAAAAAUGUUGGGGUAAAACAUAGGUAGAUGUAAUAGAUGAUGUGUGAUAAAGUGAUGAGAGGCCUCGAUGUUGACGAUGAUCCAUUCAUCUAGCGGAGUAUAGAUGACGACCACAGACUAUUCUAGACAGUCUAGUGGAACGCUAGUAGACCCACAACCUGUAGGUGUUUGUGCACGAUGUGUUCACUGAUGUACUACAUCCCCCUCGUGGUUGCCUUACGAACAUUUAUCGUCGAGGAAUCCCCUUUUCUAAUAGUGUCUAUCCCGAUGAAAAUCCUUAGGAUAAGUUCUUUAUAAUAGAUAUAUUAGGGACAUAAAGUGAGUAUAAUGGGAACGGGUAAUUGGGUUGUUUUGGUUUGAUGAAAUUAAUAAAUUUAUUUAUUGUGGGUUGAAAACCCUAUAUGCUCACCAGGCUCCCAAGCCUGACCCACUCAGUUCUCUUUGUAUUAUAGAUAGUGGCACACGAGUAUAGUUUGAUGAUCUGAUGAGAGAUUAUGGAUUUAUAGACCACUAGAAAUAAAUAGAAUAUUUGUAAGGUCUAUGUUAUUUUGAGGCCUGUGUUGCUUAUAUUGUACUGUUUAUGCUUUUGAUCUGUAAUGAACAUGACAUCCCGAAUUUUUAAUAUAAAGAAAUACAUUUCUUCGGAAAUGGUUUGAUAAAUCCUUAUCAUAUUAUCUUUUGGGAACAAAUUCCGAAAUAUAUUUCUUUAAAAAUAUACUCUGUUUUUUAAACAAAGCAAAAAACAAAUCGGUCUUUUCUGGCCAUGAAAUUAGGGAUGUCACAGUUGGUAUCAGAGCAUUAGUUUAAGCGAACUAGGAAAUUUGUAGGAUCGCUAGAAGAUCUGAUCUAGAGUAGAUCAGAAUUACUUGGUGAAGAAGCAUUAUGAAGAUCUGAUCUGAUCUGUUCCUUAAAUAACAGAUCUGCAUUUAUCUUUAAGAUUCAAUCCCAUCAAAUAACGGAUUUGGUUCACUUAGAAAAUCAGGUGAAUCCGAAAAAGUUUUAUCUCCUAGGUUUAGACUAUAAUUUAUACUAGCCUUUCUCAUUAGUUGAGAGUUGAUGAUUUUUAUUGUUUAUCAGAGAUAUAAUUUGUUGGUGAGUUCUGAAUCAUUGUACUUGUUCUCUUUGUGAGAUCAUUUUUCUUAGUGAAAAUCUGAUAAAAAUAUCGGUUAUUAUUUUUAAAGUACUUGUUUUAUUAUUUCACGUUUCUAUUAGACUCAUACAUAAGUGUUAGGAUUUUGGGACCAUCAGCACUGCAUCAUCAUUUAUGAUUAUAAGUCUCCUGUUGCAUGGGUAUGCUAGAGCGGAAAACGAAAAAUAUGUGCUGAGGUUGAAUCUCAAGAUCUCUAUUUUUUUCGAAAUCUUAGCGGAACCUAAUUNNNNNNNNNNNNNNNNNNNNNNNNNNNNNNNNNNNNNNNNNNNNNNNNNNNNNNNNNNNNNNNNNNNNNNNNCAAACAACAAGGAUCAUUUUGUAAAGCAUGGAAAGAUUAACACAACCAUACAAAUAAAGAGCAACAACAUUUGAAGACUUUGAUAUCUCUUGGGAGGUUGGAAGUUGAUUAAUAUGGAAAAUGACACAAAAAAGCGCUUCUCUAGAAGUAUCCACCAAGUAAGAGUAGACUACUUUAAAAUGCUAAUAUGUACUUGUGUUAAGUUCUUAUUAAGCCAUUAGUACUUAUACUAGAUAAGUAUUAAGAAGAAGAACUUAUGAACUCUUAAUUCAAGCACCAAAAUUCAAGAAAGUAGAGGGGGAAAGAGGCUUUCAUGCCUACGGUUUUGGAAGCUUUUGAUAGAGAAAAAUAAUAAGAAAACUAGCAAAAGGAUUUAAUCGAAUGACUAGCUAUUCUUCUCUCUUUAAUACCAAAACAUAUGUACCAUGAUCCAUGCUAUUAUUUAAAGGAGGUAUGGCAUCAAAUUACAAUUAAGGUGUGUAAGACCAAAGACUACACACAAUCUCCUAAGCUUUAAAGAUGUUCAUGACACUGUUGAAGAAAAUGGGGUACAUGGUGUGUCGUUCACUCAUGGUAAUAACUAGUAGUUAUAUUCCAACUAAAUGACAUACUCUAAGUGCCUGAAAAGUUGUACAUAACUUUAAUAUUCAUACCAUAUGAUAUUAACUAGUUUUUGUUCUCUUUAUUAUUAUUAUUAUUAUUAUUAUUAUUAUUAUUAUUAUUAUUAUUAUUAUUCUAGAAACAAUAAUUCCUAAUAUGAUGGUAAAAUAUUAUUUUCAUAAAAAUGUUGUGAUUUUAUUAAAAAAUAGUCUAAAAUAAAUAGUAAAAACUACGAGUUUAGCAGCGAAAGCAAUUUUAUAUUUGAAUAAAAUAAAACCAUUUUACCCACCAAUGACAAUUUUGCAAAGCUAGGAAAGAUUAAAACAACCAUAAUAAGAAAAGUUUAUAACCUUUUAAGACUUUGAUUCUCUUGAGAGAUUGGAAGUUGAUGAAGUAUGGCAAGAAGCUCCAAAAGAGAAGCUCUCUACAAGUAUUUACCGAGCAAGGAUAAACCACCAAAACAUGUUAGUCUUCACUUUUAUAUAAGUUACUAUUAAGCCUCUAAGACAUAUAUAAAUAAUUUUCAAUAGAAAACAACUUAUGAGUCUUCAUUUGAUGCACCAUUUACAAGAAAGGAAAAUAGUAAGAACACCUUGUGUUCUUGGUUUUGGGAGGAGGAAAGAAAAGAGGAAAGUCAUAAAAAAAUAGCUGGUUUUUUGCACGAUCCUCUUCUUUAUAUAUCAUUCAAAGAGUACUUAGUCAAACCAAGUAUUAAAUGGAAGUAAGGUGCCUUCUUGCAUGAACUAUGGAAGAAGUAAACAACACCACAUUCCAUCCCUUACCUCUUCAUGAAAGCUAUGAAUUUCACAUGAAAAAAGUCAAGGAUAUGGAGUGUUAGACUCCAAAAAAACUAGCUACAUUCAAACUAAGUGUUUACCUAAAGUGCCCAAAAGUUUGUAAACAAAUUUAAUAUAUACAUACCCUAUGAUAUGACUAGUUUUUUUUUCUCUCUUUAUUAUUAUUUCCUAGAAAUAAUAAUUCGCAAUAAGUUGGUAAAAUAUUAUUUUCAUAAAAGAACGUUUUUCUAAUUAAUUACAAGUGUUAAUUAUAUUUAUUAAUCAUCAAAUUAUACUAAUAAAUAAUCAAUAUGCAGGAGCUUGCUAUAAGGUGUGACUCUAUAUGAUCAUAUAUCAUUAGCAAUAUCAUUCUAUAAUGACUCUUGGGAAUAAAGAUAUUUCAAUCUCCCAUUUGCAUAAGACUCAUCAGAUUGGCAUAGACAGUGGUGAACAUCUAUCAACAUUUCAUGCCCCUAAUAAAGUACGAAAAAGAAUGCCAUUCAUCAAUAUCUAAUUCCCAAAAGCUCAAAGCUACAAUUGAUGUAUAAGGUAGGUUUAUCAGUCAUCCCUUUGUUACAGACUUCCUGUUAAACAUGAGACUUGGAUCAAAAUCAAUCUCAUUUGGUGCUCAACUUUGGGUAGAUGCCUAAAUCUUAAAACAUAAGUGGACCAAAUUCCAUCUUGACUACAUAAGCCUCUUGCAUAGCUCACACGACACCUGAAAAUAACCUUUAUAACUUCCUAUUUAAGGAUCAAAAUUUGACCAUAUCAAAGCACACCUGUAACAUCCAAAAAUACGACCCCAAAUUUUUUAUUUUAAUAAUAAUAAAAAUCAUAUACUGAACGUCAUAUCAUAAAACCAUACGUCAAAUAUCUCAAAUCAUAAUAAAAUUUCGUGAAACAACUGUAUCAAAUCAAACUAAGAAUCAAAACAAACUCCCAGGACAAAAACUGAAGCUGUGGUGUGUGCGAUGCCAUCAUCCUGGGCUCUUCCCUUUACUUGCUAAAGUACCUGAAACCAAAACUGAAACUGUAAGCACGAAGCUUAGUUAGCUCCCCCUAAACUACCACAUAUCGAAUAAUACAUAUAAAUCACAUACUGGGCCUUGCACACUGCAUCAGACUAGAGUCCGAAAAAUGCAUUGGACCGAAGUCCGAAACUGACUGGGACCUUGUCCCCUACAUCGGACCGGAGUCCAGAACUAGCUGCAUCGGACCAAAGUCCGGAACUGACUGCAUCAUACCAAAUUCCGGAACUAACUGCAUCGGACCAAUGUCCAGAACUGACUGAUCAUAGCAUAACAUAAACACAUAUCAACUAGCAUAAACACAUAUACUGCAUACUGCAUCAGGCCGCAUCCCGGAACACAUAACACAUAAAUCCUGUCUGAGCCACGAAGGCAUCAAACACACUAUCUACAGAAUCGGACUGAAGUCCGGAACUAUUGCUAGCUAAUUGGACCGACAUUGUGGUCGUAGACUCGUUCCUACCGGAAGGAAACUCACCUCGAAAUCUGGCUGCUGAAUGACCUGCUCGGGAAACUGCUUGCUGCUGCUCUGAUAUCUCCCCAGCUACAAUUUCCAUAAGUACACUCAAUCAAUCACUGAUAACUAUACUGAGGGUAAAAUGACUAUUUUACCCGUGGUCAAAGUCAACCUAUUGGUCAAAGUCAACAUACAGUUUGACCUGACUCGUUGAGCUGGGUCAUCAACUCGUCGAGUCUGAAGAACCACUCAUCGAGUCAGUUGCAUGCAACUAUACUCCGAUGAUUCUGCUCAAAUCUAAUGCAUAUAACUUAUAGAUAUGGGUUCAUAAAGCAUAGUUACCAUGUAAAGUUUCCAACUUUACGUGUACAUAUGCAUGAAAAGGGAUUUAAAGGCUAAAAAUACACUUAAAGGAGUAGAUCUAGGGCUUUCAAGCAAAAUGGCUCCAUAAAGGUGAUAGAUCCACGCCUUUGGGACUGAAACAUGGCUAGACCCGAAGGCCAAUCCCCUCAAUGUGAUUUCUCUACUAUAAAUAAGCUAAGAAAUGGAUAAAAUGGUCUAAAUGUGAUUAAACAAAGGAGAAUCAAUCAUAGAAACAUAGGGAAUCCAGUUUUUACCUCAAUAACUCUGCAAUAGAUGCAAGAUCUUGGACCUCCUUCUACUCCCUUGGAUCUAGCUUCCUUCUUCUCUUCAAAACUUCAAGAUUAAAACAAGAGAUGCUCAAAAUGAUAAAGGAAAGGUUAAGGUUUGCUAAAUGAUGCUCUGAGGGUGAAGGGGACGAGGUUGGUGUCACACCCCAAAACCAAGAACGGUGGAAACAUUCUGGGCGAAGGACGUCAUGUAGAGUAUCACAACAAUGAAAAGUAGUAAACAAGCAACAACAUCAUCCAUUGCAUUAAUAAUAUAAUUAUUAUACAAGUGUGUUCUGUCAAAUUUUGAUAAACAUUAAAGCAUAAAUCAAAAUGAAAGAUGAGUCUUCAACGAGCUCCAUCUUCCCUAAUCCUUGCAUCGGUACCUGUCUAUGAUGACCUGAGGAUACAAGUAAUUUUGAAAGCGAGUAUCAGCUUUGAAGCUGGUGAGAUCAUAAGUAUUUUAGUGUCUUAAUUUGUAUGUAAGAAAUUGUUUGUAAAUGAAUUGUAAGUAUGGAAAAAUGUAGAUGAACUGUAAGUAUGAAAAUGUUUGUAAAACAACUGUAAACGUUUGAAAAACCCUAGAAAUCCCUAUGAUUCCUACUUUUAUAUAAAGGUGUCUUCUACCAAGACUUAACUGUUCUCAAUGUAGUCUUCUACCAAGACUUAACUGUUCUAAAUGUUCGUUUCUUGUAAAAGUGUGUAAUUUUCCCAAGUGUNGACUACCAUUAAUCAAAAAGAUAGUUUCUACAUUACCGUGCGUCGUGUAAAUGUUCACAAAGUGAAUGUAAUGGGAAAAAGAAAUAGUACUAUGGUGUAACGUUGAACUACAACCGUACCAAUUACCUAAAGUCUAGGGUAAUUCUUCUAAGUACUGUAGCAUUUGUAAUAAAUAACUACAUCGGUACUCAUCUGCCUUAUUUUAGGGAUAAGGUAUAAUGUGAUGUCUAGAUCCCAGACUAUACGCUCCCCUAUCAAAGGGAUUUUGGGACCUACCCACGACCCCUGCAUGUAUGCAAGCCGUGAGCAUCCACAUUACUAUGAUCAUGUAUACUCGAUAUAACUAUCACAAUUGCGUUGUGAUUCAUCGGUAUAGUUAGAUCCUGAACUGGUUCCAUGCUAUAGCACCUAGUGACGUCUGUUCUAUGUAUAUGUAAGCGUACUCAUGUAAGUGUGAUCAUGUAAUUGUACUUAUGUAAGUGUGAUCAUGUAAUAGUAUAGUAGUGUACUGUAAUGUUCUACGUGUGCUAGCUGUAAUGUGUGUUCUCUCUCUAUCUAGCAUGUAUAGUAAUGUACUGUAAUGUUCUAGCUGUAAUGUAUGCUCUCUCUAUCUAGCAAGUAUAGUAAUGUACUGUAAUGUUCUAGAAAGUAUUGACUCAUGAAUGAACUGACUCAUUGUAUGAUAUCGCGUUCUAGUAAUAGUUCUAGUAUCUUCCUAAACUACCCAUAUGGUAGUUUACUAGUAAUCUAACUGGUACGUAUGGACAUGGAUGUAUACCCUUGCUACCCAAGGGCAUUGGAUGAACUGGAAGGACCUUUUAUGACUAUAUAUGUACACAUGAUAUAUAACUAAUAUUUAAACGACCUUCGGACGAGUACCCGAUAUCCCACCAGACCACAUCUCAAGCGCGAAAAGGAAAUAGGGUGGAUAGCCUUCCUAAGUCUUUUAAACAUUUCUUAUAUAACUAUACAUAUAGAGGCAUGCAAUUUAUAAUAUAAAAGCAUAAAUAAGUUUUGUAAAACAUUUGAACAUAAUUAUUAUCUUAAGAAAAGAUCGACUUGAUGUCAAUCUAUAAAACGGUUUGGAGGCAUGGGUUUGAUAAAACAGUUUAGUAUAAAGAAACAUUUGUUUGAAACACAAUUGUAAAUAAGUUUGAAAUGUAAUAUACAGAGUAAAAUGUACAGUGUAAUAAGGAGUUUAAAACAUAUAAAAUGUUUAUAAAAAUCAUUUGAAGGAAACUGUUUGGUAAAACGGCUAAUGAGUAGCCAAAUCAUUUGAAUGUUGUAUAUUAAUCACAUGUGAUUGAUGUAAUAACUAGCAUAAUUCUACUUAUUAAUCACAUGUGAUUGAUAUAAUAACUAGCAUGAUUCUACUUGUAUCCCCCCCAUAAAACAUUUAAAAAUAGUUUAAAACAUUAGUUAAGGGGUAUGAACUCACCUGCAGUAAGUGACUGGAAUUGAACGGACUGUUAUCGUAAGGAAGGAUCGGACAAGUGCUUGGUGUCAAGUGAAGACUUUAGACACACACAAUGAUCCUAAUUACAUAUGAAGACAUAUGUAUAUAAAUAAUUAGUGAUUAAAACACUAAUUAUACAAGUAUAAACAUUUUAACGCGAGGAAAACACUUUUGGUCAAGUGCUAGGAGGCUAAUGGGUUGUAAUAAAGGUGUGCAAGACCUCUAUUGGGAGUUUAUGGUCAAAUGACCAUAUGUUUUGGAGUUUACGGCUCAGGGGAGUAAAAUCCUGGCCGUAAACUCUCAACAAGGUCUCUAAUUGAAGCCUAUCAUUUAUACAACUAGUUUGGUGAAUUGUUUCAAGGCUAAAUCAAGUGUUUGGGUGACAUUUGCCCCCCUUAUAGGGGUUUACAGCCCUGGGACCAUAUCCCAUGGAGAUUACGGCCGUAAACUCCUUUGGGGGAAGGUUUAUGGUGUUUUCAAGUCCCUAAUUUAACAAGGAAUGAGUCAAGGCAAUUGUCCAAGGCUUUAGGGGGAUUUAUAGCACCAUUUGGCACCUUUCAUUGGAGUUCACGGCCCUGGAACAUCUUAGGCCGUGAACACCUUUUUCUUGUUGUUCUAAGUGUGUUAGCUACUAUUAAACUCAUUUAGGUACACUCCCAAAUUAGUAUCUUGGCUUAAGGAUGGUUUUUAAGGCAUUUUGGCACUUAAACAUGGAGUUUAUGACCCAAGAACCUCCUUGGCCGUGAACUCUCUUUUACCCUUGACUCUUAAUUGUUUUGUGUCCUAAACAUGCAAUGGUGGUUUCUAGUUCGAGUUCCAUGGCUUUGAGGGACUUUGGGACACCUUAGGACUUUAAAAUGGAGUUUACUCCCCAAGUGUUCUUGGGCGGUAAACUACCGAAUCUUGGGGUUUUGGCAUGAUUUUGAUGUUUCUAANACUUGGGGUUAUGGCAUGAUUUUGAUGUUUCUAAACACAAUCUAAGCUAUAUAACAUAACUAGAUUGAAGUACUCACAAUUUGGGAUAAAAACCCGAAGAUCCGUGAGAGAGAAUCUGGCUUUUCUCUAAUUGGAAAUGUAACUAAUGACAUAAUUUGGUUCAUAAUUCUAUUUAUAGUCCUGAGAUAUUUUUGGCAGAAAAUAUUUUCAUUCCCGUAAUGAACUCUAAUAUCCUAGAGUAUUGGAAUAACAGUGUUGCACAAAACCCUAGUGCAUCCACUCUCCUGAUAUCUCCUUAUGUGUAAAUCCUAAAAAAAACUGCCAAGCUUAUACUCGAAGUCUGAAUUUUCACUGUAACUGUUCUACUUCUAUUGGCUUGAUAUGGUUUGUUCAGAAUGGAAAUUUCGGGUUGUCACAGUUGGGGCGCAUAACAUGGCUUAAAUAGGGUGCAAAACUCGGGGAUUUAGGGUUUUAUUCAGACUGAUGGACUCACCGAGUCCAUGAUAUAGACUCGCCGAGUCGCCAACUUAAACUUGCUCGAAAUCUCAUCUCUACUCGACAAGUUGGGCUACUGACUCGUCGAGUCCCUCUUGAAACUCGAAGAAAUAAUAAUAUUAAAUAACAUACCAGAAUCGGGGCGUUACAACUCUCCCCCACUUGUCUCAGACUUCGUCCUUGAAGUCUGCUGCUGCUGCAUCUGGAAAUAAUUCUGGGUAGUGCUGCCUCAUCUCCUCCUCUGCCUCCCACGUCCACUCAGAUCCCUUUCGGUGCUGCCACUGCACCUUUACCAACUGAACCACCUUGUUCCUCAAGGUCUUCGUCUUUCGAUCCAAGAUCACAAUCGGUCUCUCAAUAUAAUUCAGGCUGUUAUCAACCUGAAUAUCUUCCAAGGGUACAACUACUGACUCGGCCAACAAACACUUUCUCAACUGAGAGACAUGGAAAGUGUUGUGGAUCUGUCCAAGCUUUGCCGGAAGGUCCAACUGAUAAGCAACACGACCCACCCGGGCCAAAACCCUAAAAGGACCGAUGAACCUGGGGCCCAGCUUACCCUUCUUUUAGAAUCUGAUGAUACCCUUCCAAGGUGAUACCUUCAGGAGGACCAUAUCACUCAUCUGGAACUCCAAGCCUGAACGCCUCCUGUCGGCAUAAAUCUUCUGCCAACUCUGCACAGUCUGCAGUCUACUAUGAACCUGCUGGAUCAACUCAGUCGUCUUGAGCACCACCUCGGUGCUCCUAAUGAUGCGCUGACCGACCUCGCCCCGACAAAUCGGGGUCCUGCACUUCCUCCAAUAGAGCAUCUCGAAGGGAGGGCGGUCAAUGCUCGCAUGAUAACUGUUGUUAUACAAAAAUUCCGCUAACAGAAGAUACGUAUCCCAACUGCCACCGAAAUCUAGGACGCAUUCCCGAAGCAUGUCCUCAAGAGUCUGAAUCAUCCUCUCGCUCUGCCCGUCCGUCUGAGGGUGGAAAGCGGUGCUGAAAUGGAGACGAGUACCCAUCUCGUUGUGAAACCACUUCCAGAAUCUGGAAGUAAAACGAACAUCUCUGUCUGACACCACUGAUACAGGCACUCCAUGCCGUGCCACAACCUCUCGCACAUAUAUAUCGUCUAGCUUCUCAGCCGAUAUGCUCUCCUGGAUCAGUAUAAAAUGAGUACUCUUCGUCAACCGAUCCACUAUAACCCAAAUUGAAUCCACUCCACGUGUGGUCCUGGGAAGCUUAGUGAUAAAAUCCAUAGCGAUAUCCUCCUAUUUCCACACUGGAAUGUCCAACGGCCGCAUCUUGCCGUGAGGACUCUGGUGCUUCGCCUUAACCUUCCGUGUAGGUCAGGCAUCUUUCCACAUACCAGGCGACAUCCCGCUUCAUGCAGGGCCACCAAUAGUCGGGUCGAGGAUCCUAUACAUCUUCGUUUCCCCUGGAUGGAUGGAAAUCGAGACUUAUGGGCCUCGUCCAUCAACACCUGUCGUGCUCCACCCUAGUACGGUACCCAUACUCUACCAUGAAGGGUCAACAAUCCUCGGCUGUCAUAGUCAAAAGAAGCUACUCGGCCCACAAUCCUCUCACACUUCUGCCUCUCCUCCUUGAGACCCUCGGCCUGCGCCUCUUUGAUUUACUCCAACAAUGGAGUAAUCACUGUCAUCCUCAAACAAAUAUAUCUGAUCAGGGCCGCUGCUGCAUUGCAGCUCACAGCGUCAGCCACUACGUUGGCCUUCCCUGGGUGAUAAAGGAUCUCACAGUCGUAAUCCUUCAACACAUCUAUCCAUCGCCUCUGCCUCAUGUUCAGAUUCGGCUGAUCCAUGAGGUACCUCAAGCUCUUGUGAUCCCUGAAAAUGGUGCAUCGGACCCCAUAGAGGUAAUGUCUACAAAUCUUAAGGGCAUACACCACUGCCCCCGGCUCUAAAUCAUGCGUAGGAUAGUUAGCCUCGUGAGGCUUCAACUGUCUCGAGGCGUAAGCUAUCACACAGCCUCGCUGCAUCAGCACUGCUCCCAUACCUGUGAUCGAGGCAUCACAGUAGACUACAAAAUCUUCUAUUCCCUCCGGUAGGGUAAGAAUGGGUGCCUCGCACAAUCUCUGUCUGAGGGUCUCAAAUGCUGCCUGUUGCUCAGGCCCCCAACGAAAUGCCACCGACUUCUUGGUCAGUCGGGUGAGUGGUACUGCUAUCUUGGAGAAAUCCUGAAUGAACCUCCUGUAGUACCCUGCCAAACCUAGGAAGCUCCGAAUCUCAGAUGGAGACCUCAGGACCUCCCACUGCAUCACGACCACUAUCUUGGCCGGAUCUACCAAGAUACCCUUCUGGUUGACGAGUGUCCAAGGAACUGCACCUCGCGCAACCAGAACUCGCACUUGGAGAACUUUGCAAAAAGUUUCUCCCUCCCCAAAAUCUCCAGCACCUCCCUCAGGUGCUCCUCGUGCUGCUCCUGAGUCUUGGAAUACACCAAGAUAUCAUAUAUGAAUACUAUCACAGACCGAUCCAGCAUCGGCCUGCAUACGUGGUUCAAGAGAUCCAUGAACGCGACUGGGGCGUUGGUGACCCAAAUGGCAUCACCACGAACUCAUAAUGUCUAUACAUGGUCCUGAAAGCAGUCUUCUGCACAUCCUCAUCUCUAACUCGCAUCUGAUGAUACUCGAAGCGUAAAUCGAUCUUGGAAAACCAAGACGCUCCAUGUAGCUGAUCAAAUAAAUCAUCUAUCCUCGGAAGUGGGUAACAGUUCUUCACUGUUACCUUAUUCAGAUCCCGGUAAUCUACACACAUACGGUGCGACCCACCGUUUUUCUACACAAACAAAAUCGGUGCACCCCAGGGAGAACUGCUCGACCUGAUAAAACCCUUGUCUAACUGCUCUGGCAACUGUGUAGAUAACUCCUGCAUCUCUGGGGGAGCCAGCCGAUAUGGUGCCUUGGCUAUCGGAGCCGCACCAGGGAUUAGGUCAAUCCCGAACUCGACCUGCCUCUCAGGAGGUAUUCCAGGCAAAUACUCUAGAAAUACAUCCGGGUAGUCUCGCACUACCGGAACAUCAUCGACUGUCAUCUUGCGCUUCUCCCAGGCAUCUAAAACAUAGGCAACAUAACCGACGCANUGCUGAAAAUAGCGCCUCGCUCUCGCCGUUGAACACAGAACUGGUCCGCGCUGUGGCCUCUCACCCUGAAUCACUAACUCUCCCCCACUGGGAGUGCGAACCCUCACUAACUACAGCUCACAAUCUAUCACUGCCCCAUUGGGGCUCAUUUAAUCCAUGCCUACUAUAACCUUAUUCCCUCGUAGAGGAAUAGGGACCAAGUUCACCGGAAACUGCUCAUCGAAUAACCGUAGAGAACGUCCUCUGUGUACCCUUGCAACCCUAACGGUCCUAUCAGCUGCUAUCUCAACCUCAAGUGGAGAAUCUAGCUCCCCUGGAGCUGUGCUAAACCUCUUGCUAAGCACAAGAGAGACGAAUAAUCGGGUAGCCCCCGAAUCAAACAAUACUGUAGCUGAAAUGCCGUUCACUAAGAACGACCCUAUACGAAACAUAUAACCAUAAGAAACAAUCAAUAAUAAAUGCAGAGAUUAGGGAGAAAUACAUAUCCGUCACUACGUCAGGAGUCGCUCGCGCCUCUUCUGCUGCCAGCUAAAAAUCCCUACUCUUAGCCACCGGCGCUCAACUCGGCCCUGACGGCCAUCUAUAAUCCUCAAAGUAGCAGGGGCAUGUGCUAACACCUUCCCUGCAGCUGCUAAACUCGGACACUGGGACUUUUUAUGUCCCCUUUAAUUGCACUGAAAGCAAAUCAGAUCUGACGCCGCAAUGGCGGUGGUAGUGGCUGUACAAUCUUUACUCAUAUGCCCAGUCCGGCCGCACUUGUAGCAGCCGGAACUCCCUGCCUUGCACACCCCGUCGUGCAAUCUCCCACACUUGCCACACCGAAUGUGGCUCUGCUGACUCCUGGAUCUGUGAUAUGAAACCUUGGGCUUUUUGCCUGAACUCCCUAUACCCAAAGCCGCCUCCGGCUUCCUCUUCCUCUCCAUCUCAAGGUCAAUCUCUCUCUCUCUCUCUCUCUCUCUCUCUCUUGCCCUGGCAAUCAUGUCAUCUAAUGUUUUACAGCUGGACCGGCUCACAAAAUGGCGGAUAUCACUCUGCAACAUCUCAUGAUAACGGGCCUUCUUCAUUUCCUCAUCUGCUGCGUACUGAGGAACGAGAAGCGCCCUCUCCCUAAACGUGGCGGUAAUCUCCGCCACUGUCUCUGUAGUCUGGGUCAAAUCCUGGAACUCACGUGCUAACUGCUGCAUCUCAACAACGGGUGCGAACUUAGGUCUGAACCUGGUGGUAAAGUCUGCCCAGGCCAUGGCAUCCAAAGCUGUGUCAUUCCCGAUGGCAUGACCAACCUCCUCCCACCAAUCCCGUGCCAUGUCCUUUAGAAGACAGGACGCCAACCUGACCUUGUCCCCCUCGGGACACCUGCUCGUGCGGAAAGCAUUGGCCACAUCCGCCAACCAUUUGGUACUCACUAUGGGGUCCCGCGCCCCGUGGUAAUCUAGAGCUCCACAUGCCCGUAACUCCCUGAAAGUAAGCGUGCGCGACCCCAUCAUGGCCGCCACCUCAGCACAAAAUGUGCCUAGCUUCUCCUCCAUCAACUCUAAUAUACCGUCCUUGAUCGAACCAAAGAUCACUGGAGUCUGCUCAAGAAUGAUACGAGUAAACUCUAAAUGAAGAACUCUCUAGUCUGCUCAUCCAAUUGCUCGACUCUCGAGCCUGAUCCCGAUCCCUCUCCGGCACCUGAACUGCCGCCUGCUGGUCUAGGGCGUAAAACCACCAUUCUGAAAACACAUCACAAUAAACUUCUUGAUAUGACUCGAGGGAUCAUUACUACAACCAGCUUUUCGGUCUCAUCUCAGCCUUCCUCAAUUCAAGUAUGGAUCCUCUUCUUCCAGUAGUAUGGGCCCCUACUACCUUCCACAUCUAUCCGUACUUUCCUCAAGAACUGCCUCGACUCCACCUAGCCACUACUACUGCUGCUGAUCUCUACUGCUCUCAUCCUAGGCUUGCCCUAGGUAACUCUCUGACUCAACCCAACCAGUCCUCAGCUGCUGAAGGCCUCCUUGUAAUUCCAAUUAACCAUUACCUUAAUACCAUCACAUGUGGUGAGGCUCAGAUAAUCCUUCGAGUAAAAGACUCGUCCCCACAAUGGUUAGACUCAAACAAGAGCUGCGCAGUAGGGACAAAUCCAAGACUCUGAGAUUAUUCAACCCUUUUCACAUGUGAUGUGGCAUAUUCACCUAAUGGCUAACUCCAAUCACUCAGAGUCCCACAAAGCACGAAGCAAACAACAUUCGGUCACGGAAAACUACUCAAGCAAUUCUAUCCUCAUAAUGAGAAACUGUAGUAGCAUACAAUGCUAAGCUCAUGCUAUCAUGCAUAACCUAAAUAGGCUAUCCUACUGCUGUCUACUCAAUAAUAGCAUGCAAUUCUCAAAAAGAUGAAAUACAUAAAGUAGGCACAUAAGGCAUGCUCCUAGAUCCUUAGUCCUAUACUAGCAUGUUGUUCUAUUGAAACUGAAACAAAUAAUCAUAAUUAAACAUGUAUGGGUAAUUUUGGGAGUACUUACUUCAGCUCGGCUGAUCACAUGCACUACACCCUUUUCUCUUUAUCAAAACUCUUUUCUUUCUAAGUUCUUUUUCAAAAAUGUUUUUCUUUUAAAACCUUUUACCAUUUCCUUAGUUUGAGUUCAGACGCACCCAAGAGUGUAUCCGAAUCCCUCAAACAAAGGCUCUGAUACCAACUUGUAACAUCCAAAAAUAAGACCCAAAAUUGUUUGUUUUAAUAAUUAUAAAAAUCAUAUACUGAACAUCGUAUCAUAAAACCAUACGUCAAAUAUCUCAAAUCAUAAUAAAAUGUCGUGAAAAAACUGUACCAAAUCAAUCUAAGAAUCAAAACAAACUCCUAGGACAAAAACUGAAGUUGUGGUGUGUGCGAUGCCAUCAUCCCGAGCUCUUCCCUUUACUUGCGGAAGUACUUGAAACGAAAACUGAAACUGUAAGCACGAAGCUUAGUGAGCUCCCCCCAAACUACCACAUAUAGAAUAAUACAUAUAAAUCACAUACUGGGCCUUGCCCACUGCAUCAGACCGAGGUCUGGAACUAGCUGCAUCGGACCAAAGUCUGGAACUGACUGCAUCAGACCAAAGUCAGGAACUAACUGCAUCGGACCAAAGUCCAGAACUGGCUGCAUCAUAGCAUAACAUAAACACAUAUCAACUAGCAUAAACACAUAUACUGCAUACUGCAUCAGGCCGCAGCCCAGAACACAUAACACAUAAAUCCUGUCUGAGCCACGAAGGCAUCAAACACACUAUCUACUGCAUCGGACAGAUGUCCGGAACUACUGCUAGCUAAUCGGGUCGGCAUUGUAGCCAUAGAGCCGUUCCUACCGGAAGGAAACUCACCUCGAAAUCUGGCUGCUGAAUGAACUGCUUGGGAAACUGUCUGCUGCUACUCCGGUAUCUCCCCGGCUACAAUUUCCAUAAGUACACUCAAUGAGUCACUAAUAACUAUACUGAGGGUAAAAUGACUAUUUUACCCCUGGUCAAAGUCAACCUAUUGGUCAAAGUCAACAUACAAUUGACCUGCCUCGUCGAGUUGGGUCACCAACUCGUCGAGUCCUUACUCUCACUUUCUUGCUUUUGCUCACUACUACUCGUCGAGUUUGGGAUAGACUCGACGAGUUCCUCUUCGAUACUAACACUCAGUCAAUCUGCAUCCGACCCGCCAAGUUGUAUGAACAACUCGUUGAGUCUCCUUCAACAUAUGAACACUCUGGCUGUGACUCGCCGAGUUGUAUGAACAACUCGUCGAGUCUGUUCUUGAGGUAUGAAGAUUGCCUUAGACUCGCCGAGUCAGGGCAUUGACUCGCCGAGUCCCUCCAUGAAUGAGUCCAAUCUCCGACUCACUGAGUCCACCUAUGACUCACUGGUUCCACUCGGCAUGACACAUAAGAGGGGAAGAAAUUGGGAACUUGGGACUCGACUCGUCGAGUCUGAAGAACAACUCGUCGAGUCGGUUGCAUGCAACUCUACUCCGAUGAUUCUGCUCAAAUCUAAUGCAUACAACUUAUAGAUAUGGGUUCAUAAAGCUUAGUUACCACGUAAACUUUCCAACUUUACAUGUACAUAUGCAUGAAAAGGGAUUUAAAGGCUAAAAAGACACUUAAAGGAGUAGAUCUAGGGCUUUCAAGCAAAAUGGCUCCAUAAAGGUGUUAGAUCCACGACUUUGGGACUGAAACAUGGCUAGACCCGAAGGCCAAUCACCCCAAUGUGAUUUCUCUACCAUAAAUAAGCUAAGAAAUGGAUAAAAUGGUCUAAAUGUGACUCAACAAAGGAGAAUCAAUCAUAGAAACAGAGGGAAUCCGGUUUUUACCUCAAUAACUCUGCAAUAGAUGCAAGAUCUUGGACCUCCUUCUACUCCCUUGUAUCUAGCUUCCUUCUUCUCUUCAAGACUUCAAGAUUCACACAAGAGAUGCUCAAAAUGCUCAAGGAAAGGUUAGGGUUUGCUAAAUGAUGCUUUGAGGGUGAAGGGGACGAAGUUAGGGCUCAUAACAUGACUUAAAAUAGGGUGCAAAACCCGGGGAUUUAGGGUUUCAUUCAGACUGAUGGACUCACCGAGUCGCCAACUUAAACGUGCUCAAAAUCUCGUCUCUACUCGACGAGUCGGGCUACUGACUCGUCGAUUCCCUCUUGAAACUCAAAGAAAUAACAAUAUUAAAUAACAUACCAGAAUCGGGGCGUUACAACACCACUCCCCACACUUAAUUUCCAUUAUGUAUCUUAGGUGUUAAUAAUACAAAGAUGACACCUUUUAGUCAAGUAUCUCUCAUAACUGCGAUCUAUGAGAUGAUCUUGAUGUGGGUCCAUUCAAUACCAGUUCUCUGACAAGUAUACAUGAAUCUUGGUUUCAACCUAUUUCCUACUUUCAUCUAAUGAGAGUCAACCAAUCCAUUUAAUAUUAGUCUUACUUCAUAAAUUCUCCCACAAUUAUAACCGGCUAUGAACUUCUAGAACAAAUAAGAUUAUUCAUGGAUUAAACAUGUUAAUAUAGUACACAACAAGUAUUAAUGUGAUUUUGAUAUCCCAAUAUAUAAACACAAUUGUUGUCUUAAUGUUAUUAUUGAAAUACUAAAUCCAAAUCAAAUCCCAUUUCUAGAAUAACAAAUUUGUAUAGGUGAAGUGUGACCAUUCAUACUUAGCUUAAGGAAAUACUUUAUUAAUGGGUGUAAGUAAAUUUAAUUUAUGUGAAUUCUAUGAAUAUGAUCAUCUCUAUAGUUAACUUUAUUCUACGUAUAGUUAAAUAUAUUGAAGAAUAUGAUUAGUGUUCAGAUAUAAUUUAGAGUCACUUAUCUUGAUUAAGUAUACUCUUGAAGUCACAGAAGAUUUCUACGUGAUUCUUGAAUGGAAGAAAUCAACAUCGUUUUUGUAACAUCCCAAAAUAGCAAGGGUAGGGUUGAAGGGCUAAAAGUGUUAUUUGGGAAAGGGUGACUCGGCGAGUAGAGUCGCGACUUNGGAGUAGAGUCGCGACUGGGUCGCGUGUUAAGUAGCCGACUCGACGAGUCAGUGAGAUGGACUCGGCGAGUAGGCGCUGAGUGAAGAAAACCCUAAUUCUCGGGGUUAAGCCCUAUAUAAAGAACAUUAUGUUUUCCUCCCAGCCUCUUUAUUCCCCCCUUGAGUCCCAGAAACCCUAAAUCGUGAAGAAGCACCAUUGUUGAGUGGAUUGGAUCUUGGAGAAGUAUUUGUUGAAGAAAGUUUGGGAGUUUGAAGGUGUGGAGCAAGGGGCUUUGCUUGGAUUCGAGUUUCCUUGCAGUUGAGGCGUACUUCUGAGGUAAUAUAUCGUUCUUAGGCUAUUAUUAUCUUGUUUUUUCAUUUUGGGGUUUGAGGGAAGCUUGUUCUUACGCUAUUAUUAUCUUGUUUUUUCAUUUUGGGGUUUGAGGGAAGCUUAUCUUGGGCCUUAUUGGAGUCUAGAGGUUAGAUAUGACGUUGCUACCUCAGAUCUGAGAUGAAGAAGAAUCAGAGAGCAUGAAAGUCGCUGUGUUGGAGUGUUUAAUGAAGCCUUCAUGUCCCAAACCCUAACCCAAUGUGCAAAAGGCCUAGAUCUCGUUGGAUUCACGUAAAGUUUGCCACUUUACUGUGAUGGAUGGGCCGUAGGAGGCUAGAUCUACGUUUUGGAUCAAUUGCAUGGCCUGGAGUGCUUCUGUAUGGAUUCAGAUCGGUGGUACUCGGCGAGUCACAUGGGUGUACUCAACGAGUUGGUUGAAGAUGAGCUGGGACUCGACGAGUCGGAUGAAGAUGGCCUGGAACUCGGCGAGUAGGUUGAAGAUAUCCUUAGACUCGGCGAGUCUGUUCUUAGACUCGACGAGUCUUGUCAAAGAGUCCCGAUGUUCUCUAGUUGAGUCGAGAAUCGGUGAGUCAAGGGAUGACUCGGUGAGUUAUGUGCGAGUGGACUCAGAGUCGUUGGACUCGGCGAGUCUCAGGGCGACUCAGCGAGUUAGGUCGCGGAUUGAGUGAAGUUCUGAGUAUGGGAACUCGGUGAGUCAUCGAGUUGACUCGGCGAGUAGAGUCAGUCAGGGGUUGACUUUGACCUAGUCUUUGACCANCCUUGCAGUGGAGGCGUACUUCUGAGGUAAUAUAUCGUUCUUAGGCUAUUAUUAUCUUGUUUCUUCAUUUUGGGGUUUGAGGGAAGCUUAUCUUGGGCCAUAUUGGAGUCUAGAGGUUAGNGUCUUUGACCACGGGUUGACCAGUGGUUUCCAGGGGUAUUUUGGUAAUUUUUGAUUAUUGUUUUGAGUUCAGUGCAUCGGUGGUUGACCAGUGGUGGAGAUCGUAUCAGUGAUUAGAGCAACUUGAGUUAUCUGUUUAGUCGGCAGUUUCAAGGUGAGUUAUCCUCACUAUAUCAACAGGGUCUACGGCACCAAGGCCGGCCCUUAUCGGAUUGAGAUCCGGGUAGUUGUUAUUAUGUUACUGCUUUGAUAUGUUUGCAUCCUGUGAGUUAGGAUGGUAUAUGUUAGAGACCUGAUUGAGAUUGGUAUCCUGAGAGAUAGGGAGAUGCUAUGCUAGUGACCUGUAGGGUCGGUAUCCUGGUUAGGAUGAUGAUAUGUUAUGUGAUCUGUUUAUCUAUUUGUUGACUGUGAAUUUCUAUUUGAUUGUAUGUAUAUGUGCACAUGGUUGUUUGGAUUGGAGUUGGGUUGAGGCGGGUCCUGCUUUCUGCUGUAGGCCAAGAUACCCAGGGCGGACCGGUUGUNUUAGGUCGCGGAUUGAGUGAAGUUCUGAGUAUGGGAACUCGGUGAGUCAUCGGGUUGACUCGGCGAGUAGAGUCAUUCAGGGGUUGUCUUUGACCUAGUCUUUGACCAUGGGUUAACCAGUGGUUUCCAGGGGUAUUUUGGUAAUUGUUGAUUAUUGUUUUGAGUUCAGUGCAUCGGUGAUUGACCAGUGGUGGAGAUCGUAUCAGUGAUCAGAGCAGCUUGAGUUAUCUGUUCANCACACAGUAGACCCGAUAUGCAUGGUUGUUCUAUGUUUUGUUAUGUUAUGUGUGUUAUUCAUGUUAUGGGCCGGAAGGCAAUAUGUUAUGGACCGGAAGGUCGUAGCCUGGAAGGGCGUAUAGGUGGUUGGUAUUUUGGGGGUAACUCACUAAGCUUUCGGGCUUACAGUUGUGGUUUUAUGUUUUUCAGGUUCUUCAGGAGACCGUGGCAAGGUGAAGGCGUGAUCGUACCGCUCCUCAUGUUUUUGGUCAUGAUGUGAUUCUGGGAAUACUUUAAAUAACUUGUAUUGAAAACCUUUUUGUAAAGAUUUAAUGGAAUCAGAUUGUUUUUGAAAAAAAUUUAAAAUUGGUUUUAUUUUCGGUAUUUACAUUUUUUCAAUGUACUCAUUCAUCCAAUCAUAUUUGAUUUCAACUUCUAUAAUAGAGUAUUCUAAUUUUAUUGUAGACAGUGCUAUUUUGUUUUUCUUAGACCUUGUUCCAACAAAACUUACUCUUUAUUCCAUAAUGUAGUCAUAAUCCAGUUAUAAUUCAUAAUUAUAUCUACCUGUUUUGAAGUUAGCAUCGUGUGUAGCUCCUUUACAUAAAGAUCUUAUGCUAAACUAAUUAUCUUAAAUACAUUCUAUAAGUUCUUCUUAAGUACUCGUAGAAUGUUCUCAUAGUCAUCUAAUGACUUACCUAUGUAUCAAGUUAGUACCUUAUGAUAUGUUCAUAACAUGAAACAUAUACCAGGUCUUGUGCAUAAUAUGAUAUAAAUGAUUGAUUUGUUUUCCAAUCAGAAUGAAUAUAAAUCAUUUUAUCUAGCUUAAACCUAUGUGCUAGGUCCUUUUGAGACAAGCUCAAAAUGGUUCCAUGUUGCAAUGUCAGUAGUCUUCCAAAGGAAUCCUGAAUUUUGAUCUAUUUCAAGAUAUUGUCAACAUAUGCAUAAGAAUUUAAAAUUUUAACAUCCAUCUUUAUCUAUCUUUGUAGAUUUCACAAUCUAAGAAUGUAUUUUGUCUUUCCUAAGUCUUUCAUCUUAGAAACACUUUCCGAGUCAAGGCGAAAGGGCUUUGCAUAGUCAGAAUGUAGUUUCUCAUGAUUCAGUAUGUCUUAUUCAUACAAGAUUAGGAUUAUCACUAUCACUCCUACUAGUUCUUAGUAAAUAUCAAGGUUGUAGAAGUCAGGAUUAAUCGUCGUUCUCCAACCGACUAGGAUUAAGGGUGCUUGAAGGAAAUUACGGAUUAACCGGGUUUGGCGGGAUCAACCGGUCUUGGUAGGAUUAAUCGGUCAACAAAAGUCAAAAAAAGUCAAAAAAUCAAUUCAAAAAAUCAAUUUUUUUUACUCCAAAUUUUUCAAAAUUUUAAAUAUUAUACCAAAAUGUUCAUAUUUUCGUAGUUUCAAAUUUUCAAAUUACAAAUUUUCUUAUUUUCUAAUUGUAACAUCCCAAAAAGUUUCAAUAAAUUUUUAAGCCUUUCAAAACAAUUCAUUUACAAAUCAAUAGUUUACAAAACCGUUGUUUCCAAAAUAUUAUUUAAAAUCAUAGUCUACCAAGAUCCAAUCAAUCAUAAAACCAAGAAUGUGUACAGUCACGCAUUCGCCUUGACACAAUCAUCUGAAGCACCUGAAACAAUAUACUAAAAUUUUAAACAUGAAGCUUAGUGAUUUCCCCUAAAAUACCACAACAAAAAAAUCAUAUACAUAAACACUCAUGCCUGGCCCAGUCAUGUUAGAUUAGUGUCUAAGCCCAUAACCAUAUUUGGUAUGUACUUAACCCAAUUGUAGCAUGGUCCUUUUGGGUUGCCUUCACCGGAGCAACUUGACUGGAUGAAUAAUGGAGAAAGAUGAUAAAUGUAGCUUAUUAAUAUAUUAUAUGAAUAAUAUAUUAAAAGAGAAAUCAUAUUAGUUAAUUAAUAUUGGUCAAGAAUUAAUUAAGAAUUAAUUUUGUGGUCAAAAGAUAUUAACUGAACUUAGGGGACUGGAAUUGCAAUUAUAAGAUAAUUGGAUUUUGGGUUAUAGAUCCCUGAGAAGGAGGGGUGGACAAAAUCAAGGAGGGAAGCCCACCUUGAGUUCGUUUAAGGCCUUGUUCUAGAAGGGUCUUUGGAUUGCUUGGUGGCUAAGCAAUCUAAUUAGGGUUUUGGCUUAAAACCCUAGUAGCUCACCUAUAUAAGGAACCCCUAGGGCACUAGAAAUCGGCUACUAGAACCCUAGAGAAGUUCAUAGAGCCGAUUUUUAGCCUUACCCUCUCUCCAAUAUUCUCCAACUUGCUUUGCUGUUUGUGAUCUACUAGAGGCACAACAUUUGGGGUGCUAAAGCUCUCAAAAGCUCAAGAUCUAACUUGUUCAUUAGAUGUUAAUUAAGUUUUGUUGUAUGCUAGAUUAGGAUUUUUCAAGUAUUGGAUAAUUAUGCAUGUACAAAUAGAAAAACUAGAUCCAAGCAUUUAGGUUUGCAUGAACACCAUAGGAAUGUUGUUUUGCUCAAAACCCAAUAGUGUAGAUCGUUUCUCUUUUGUAUUUGAUGCAUUGGUAACUUUUUCACGCUCAAAAAUCGAAAUUUUUUGCCCCUGACUGAUGGACUCGUCGAGUCACCAAAUGAACUCGGCGAGUCCAGGUCUGUGACUCGGCGAGUCGGUUCGUCUGGUGGCUGAUUUUUCAGGAUUUUGACUCUUUUUGGAUUAGGAUAAUUACCAAAAACAUUUUUUAUUGAUAAAAUAUGAUUUUUAUUAUAUUGGUAUGAUUAUCCUAACCCAAAUAGAAGAUAACUGUCAUAAAUAAGAUAAUUACUUGUUUUAUAAGAUAAAUUUAAUUAUCUGUAUUUUUUAUUUGAAUUAUCUUACCAAGAAAAGGAUUAGGUCAAAUUUAGAUAAGCACUAAAUAUAUGAAUAAUUAAAUUAUUUGUAAAUUGAUCCAUUCUGUUUUGAAAAGUUUCAAAACUUGCCAUCAAGUUUUGGAAUUUAAAAUUUUGAGUAAAAGUUUUAAUUUUGAAACAUUUAAAUUCUAAAACCCUAGUGUUUUAAAAGUUAAAAUUCAACCCUUAUACUAUAGUAAUAUUAAAGUAUUAUCUAUUAUAUAUAUAAGAAUAAGGCUAGUCUUACCGUUAGUAGGUCUCAUUCACGAAGCCGAUCUAUAAAGGGGGUAUAAGGUUGCUACAUAUAAAUGCCAGCUUAAUGGGUGUUCAGUCUCACCCACCGCUUCCUUGAUUGGUGGAGGGUCGUUAGUCGAACGGGUAGGAUAGGGAAACUAUUAUCUCAUUAAAAGUAUAAUGAUUAAUAAAGUAACUAAAUGUUUUAUAAAAUUCCCAAUCUUAGUUACUUUCGGCAAAAUAUUAAAUGAUGCUAAUCCAUGAAAUUACACUUUGCACCCUUGCUAAGUCAUUAGUGGAGCGUGUGUGGAUAACCGGCACACUAAAUUGGGACUAGAAAAGGUGGAAAGGGUGACUCAAUGUUUAUCAUAGAUCAAUGGAGUGUGUGUGGUUAACCGGUACACUGAUUAGAUGGUAAAUGACAUCGAGGGUACCAAGUAAUUUGUAUGGUUAUGCACACCUUGUUUGUGAUCCUCGGUAUCCUAGUCACAAACUUGAAGGGAAUAUUGUGAUUUAAACAUGCCAUUAAAAAUUUCAAUGAAUCUUAAAAGAUCUAGGAGUUUUAAUACAUUUAAAACUUAAUUUCCUUUUCGUUUUUCAGGGUGGAAAUUAGUGAAUCGUCAUUCACUUACCUUCAAAUUGUUUGCAAUUUAGAUUAUGACAUCCCUCUUCUAAAUUGUAAAUAAUGUUGUUGGAUCCUAGCCCCUAAUUUUUCAUUUGGGUGUUAAAUUGGGGAUUCUUAUAUAAUCUAAACUUUCUCUCUUUUCUUUUUCAGAUGUCUAUUGCAAACAAUGCUGCUAACAUCGCUUCUAGCUGCUUUUCCCUCUUAAGUUUAUGUGGGAAGGUGAUCUUCGAUGGUUCGAACUUCAAUGAAUGGAUCCGCAAGAUUUGUAUGAUCACCCGCUACAAGGACAAGGAAUAUGUUCUCGAUGAAGAGCUAAAGGAACUCAAUGAGGCAACUACUACUCCCGAGGAGAUCACUAAGUUUCGAGCACACGAAAAGGAUGCGACAGAGUUGUCGUGUAUCAUGCUCCGACUAUGACUCCUGAACUCCAAAAGUCCUACGAGGACUACUACCCCUAUGAAAUGCAUCAAGACUUGAUGGAAAGGUACCAUCAAAGUGCAAGGAAAGAGUGGUAUGAGAUCAUCGUUGAUAUGAUCACUACCAAGAUGAAAUAUGGAGAGUCCAUCAUGUCCUAUUUGCAAAAAAUGCAUAGAUUUGUGGACCAUUUGCUGAAGUUGAAUGUCAACUUCGAUGACGAACUAGCCAUUGACAUCACCCUACACUUGUUUCCUCCUUGUUACAAUCAGUUUCGUAUGACUUAUCAUAUGAACAAGGAGGAGGUUAAUCUUAGCAAACUUCAAGGACUCUUGCGCACUGCUGAGAGACGUUUGAAAGACAAGUCUGUCGCACCAACUCCUACCUCUGUUUCCUCUGUCUUGGCCAUUGGGCAAGGGAAAGGAAACAACAGGAAGGCUCCGUCUAAGAGCCACAAGGGUAAGUCUCACGAUGGAUCCUCUUCUAGUGGGACCAAGGUUGGUUCUGCUGCUCCUUCUUCAAACCCAAAGGAUACAGAGUUCUACUACUGCGACGAGAAAGGGCAGUGGAAACAAAGUUGCCCAAAGUACUUGCAAGAUAUCAAGGAUGGAAAGAUAAAACCGUCCUUCGCAGGUAUUUAUACUAUUCAUUCUAACAACUCAUCACAUGCUACGUCUUGGUUCCUCGAUACAGGAUGUGGUUUUCACAUUUUUUCUGAUUUGCAGGUUCUAAGAAGUAGGGAUGUGGAGCAUGGGAAGAUAAGCUUGAUCAUGGGGAAUAGGACAGCAUCGCCUAUCACCUAGAUUGGAGUUUACUCUUUAGUGCUUAGUAGUGGGUUAGGUUUAGAUUUGAAUAAUUGUUGCUAUUCGUUAGAAAUGACACGAAACAUUAUUUCUUUUCAUGGUUUGUAUAAAAAAAGGUUUUAGAUAUUCAUUUGAUCAUAAAAAGGGUUCUGUUAAUGCUUAUUUGAAUGGUGUUCUCUCUUUUGAAGCAUUGCCUUGUAAUGGAAUAUAUGAAACUGUGAUGGUUGUAGACAACUUAGAAAAUGAUGUGUUACAUAUCAAUUCUUCCAAUAGUUUGGAUAAGGCAUGCUUGUGGAAUUUUCUUCGUGGACAUGUCAACAAGAAGCGCAUAGCCCAACUCCAAAAGGAUGGAGUGUUGGAGUCAUUCGACCUUAGGGACGAUGACACGUGUGAAUCUUGUUUAGUUGGAAAGAUAACCAAGUCACCCUUCACUAGUACUUUUGAAAGGGAUGAGGGUUUAUUGGAUCUCAUACACACCGAUAUGUGUGGGCCCUUUAGAUCCACCACAAGGGAUGUGAAUCGCUUCUAUGUGACAUUCACCGACGAUUAUAGUAGAUAUAGGUAUAUCUACUUAAUCAAGCACAAGUCAAAAACUUUUGAAAAAUUCAAAGAGUUUAAGCAAGAAGUGAAGAAUAAGUUGGGCAAGAAAAUUAAGAUGCUAUGAUCCGAUCGAGGUGGUAAGUACCUUAGUUUUGAAUUCCAUGACUACCUCAAGGAAUGCGAAAUUGUUUUGCAAUUAACGCCACCUAGGACACCGGAGUUGAAUGGUGUGGAUGAGAGGCGCAAUCAAACCUUUUUAUACAUGGUUCGUUCCAUGAUGAGUCGAGCUUCAUUACCUAUCUCAUUCUGGGGGUAUGCCUUAGAGACUGCCACCCAUAUCCUUAAUCUAGUACCGACUAAGAAGGUUGCCAAAACACCUCACAAGAUGUGGACAGGGAAAGCUCCCUCGUUGUCACAUAUGAAGGUUUGGGCUUGUGAAGCUUUAGUAAGAUGAGAGACUCAUGACAAGCUAGAGGCUCGUAGUGAGCGGUGUAUUUUCAUCAGCUUCCCACAAAAGUCCUUUGGAUAUAUCUCUACUAUAGACCGAGUGACAAUGUUGUCUUCGUUGCGAGGAGAAGGGUUUUCCGAGAGCGAGAAAUCAUAUGCCAAGAGCAUAGUGGGAGGCAAAUUGAUCUUGAAGAACUUCAAGAAUCAAGCAAUGAAGGAACCUCUAACCCUGCUGCUCAACCCAAGGAGGAAAGAUUGACGAGUCCCUAACUCUUAGACGUUCUAGUAAAGUUAAUGUUCCGCCCGUGUUAUAUUGUAUUCAUAUAACAAGUGAGGGUGAUAUGUUUAUUAGUGAUAAUACACUAAUAAAUUUGGAUGAACCUAAUAGCUACAAGGAAGCCAUGGCAGGCCAUGAGUAUGCAAAAGGAAAAGAGGUUAUGGACAACAAGAUUCAGUCCAUGUAUGACAAUCAUGUUUGGAUCUUGGUUGACAAUGUACUGAGUCGUAAGACAGUCGGGUGCAAAUGGAUCUUCAAGAAGAAGACUGACAUUGAGGGGAAAGUACAAACUUAUAUGGUGCGAUUGGUUGCGAAGGGCUUUACUCAAACUCCCGAAUUUGACUAUGAUUAGACCUUCUCACCAGUAGCGAAGAUAAAGUCUGUAAGGGUUAUGCUAGCCAUAGCUGCGUUUCAUGAUUAUGAAAUAUGGCAGAUGGAUGUCAAAACCGCUUUCCUUAAUGGGAAGUUGGUUGAGGAUGUUUACAUGAGUCAGUUAGACGGUUUUGUUAAUGCAAAGUACCCGAAUAGAGUGUGUAAGCUUGAGAAAUCCAUUUUUGGAUUGAAACAAGCAUCUUGCAGAUGGAAUAUUUGUUUCGAUGAGAAGGUCAAAGAGUUUGGUUUUUCGAGAAGCGAAGAUGAGUCCUGUGUAUAUGCUAAAGCCAACGGGAGUAUAAUUAGCUUUCUCGUUUUGUAUGUAGAUGACAUACUAGUUAUAGGAAACGACAUCCCAACUUUGCAGGAAGUUAAGUCCUGGCUUGGGAAGUGCUUCGCUAUGAAGGACCUCGGAGAAGCUGCUUAUAUUCUUGGGAUAAGGAUAGUGAUAAAUUGGAGUAAAAGACUAACUUAGUCAAAGUACUUACUUGGAUAAAGUGUUGAAACGAUUUAGCAUGGAGAAUUCCAAGAAAGGGGAGUUACCGAUCCAAAGUAAUACCGAGUUAAUUAAGACUCAAAGCCCGAGUACCGAAGGCGAGAUAGCAGAAAUGAUUCGAGUACCUUACGCUUUCGCAGUUGGCUCGAUCAUGUAUGCUAUGACAUGUACUCACCCUGAUGUGGCAUUCGCUUUGAGCAUGGUCAGCAGAUUUCAAGGGAACCGUGGUAUUGGGCCGUAUUUAAGAACAUUCUUAUGUACCUACGAAGGACGAAGGAAUGGUUCCUUAUCCUCAGUGGCAUUGAUGACUUUAGAGUGUGAGGGUAUGUGACACUAGUUUUCAAACCAAACGAGACAACUACCACUCUCAGUCAGAUUGGGUAUUUACCCUGAAUAGAGGAGUAGUAACUUGGAAAAGUUCCAAGCAAGAGACCGUAGCUGAUUCAAUGUGCGAAUCAGAGUACACAGCAGCGAGCGAGGCGUCAAAGGAGACAAUAUGGUUGAAGAACUUCAUCGGAGACCUUGGAGUUGUGCCAGCCGUAAAGGAGCAUAUGGAUAUUUUUUGUGAUAACAAAGGUUAGGUGGCCUUAACCAAGGAACUGAGGGAUCAUGGUAGAUCCAGACAUAUCGACAUAAAGUAUCACUUCAUCAGACAUCAGGUAUAAGAGGGACUCCUUGUAGUGACGAGGGUAUCAUCAGAGGAUAACCCAACAAAUCCCCUUACGAAGGGACUGAGUAGGGUUAAGCACUUGCAGCACGCUAGGAGCAUUAGGCUGAAGGACGAUAUUAGUUUUAGCGAUUAGAUGAAAUUUUAGAAACUUGUGAUAUGUAACUGACAUUUUGAUGAUUAAAUAAAGGUGUUUUAUUUAUAAGUAAUGUUACUGUCUUGUGACAAUUAUUUACUAUUGUUUCACUUUGCAUGUUUUGACUUCCUAAAUAAUAAGAUUAUUUAAACUAUCCACAGUCGCUCAUACGUUGGAAAUAAGUAUGAAAGAAGACCGUCAUCAAUUGGAUUGAUGAUUGCCUAAGUGUUUAGACAUAACAAAGGUUUACUGCAACGUUCAUGAAUGCUUAUGAAAUAAGAUUUGAGUAUUGGGUUAAACCCACGCUCACGUGAAUCACUUCAUGGAAUCUAAUCACGAGUGAUUGUGAGACGAUAAUAUCAUAUAGUCAUUAAACCUAUAUAUAUGAGCUGUUUUUUACAAGUCAAUUGUACAUUGAUAAUGCGUAAACACAUCGGUAACUUGAUGUUAUAAAACGUAUUAUUGUCUACGAUUUGAUGAGUAAAGAGUACAAGCAUAUAAGUCGAAGUUUAUCUGUUCCUUUUAUCCUAUAAGGAUAAAAGCGAUAUCAUUGGCCACUCGAUGAUUUGGUUUGACUUAUGUGUCAGGCCCGAUCAGGUCUGAAUUGAUGUGUUUAAUUAAGUUCUAUGUCAAACAAAUCAGAGAUUGUGAAAUAAAACUAUUGGACAAUAACUAUGACUAUGUUCCGUGUAAUUGUCCGCAUGAUAUCUUGAGAACGGUGGACUAUACGAUCCCUUAUCUUAGGGAUGUGUCAGAGUUCGACAUCUGCUUUUGAGAGCUAUGAUUGCUAAUCAGAUUUUGAAGUUGUACUUGCAUCUAUAGUUAUUAGACUUAUCCUAGUGGGAGAAUGUUGGGUUAGUGUCUAAGUGUCACACCCCAAAACGGGAACAGCGGAAACAUUCUGGGGUGGAUGACGUCAUGUCAAGUAUCACAACAUAUGCAGUAUAGUAAUCAAAGUACAAAAACCGUGGCAUUAAUAGUAAUAGUUUUACAUGGUUUACAUUUUACAGAAUCAUCAAAGUAAUACGAGUAAUAAUGUAGCUCCAGCUCGGUACUAAACGGUCUUCAACAAAAGUGCCUGAGAUGUACCUGUCUAUUGCUGACCUGAGAAUACAAGUUAUUUUGAAAGCGAGUAUCAACAUUUUUGUAAAUGCUGGUGAGUUCAUAUGUCUUUAGUUUCAUUUGUGUAAGUUCAAAAUAACUUUAUAAAAGUGGUAGUUUAGAGUCUACAGUGGAUUAGAGUCCUUUCCAGAAAAUCCUAUAUUUUCUGAUUAAAAGCAGUCUUCUACCAAGACUUGACAUAGUUAUGCUGUAGAAGUAAUUUUCCCUUACACACUAUCAAUACCAAAUACGGUGUUUGAUUUUAAAGAAAGUAGGAGAAUAUCAGGGAAAAUAACGUAUGCCUCAGCAGUGAAGACUGCUGACUAAGGCAAAAGAGAUCAUAGACUCCAUGAGAGUACCGAAUGAACGACACGCCUAGCUCAGUCUAACAAAAAGGAGAUACAAACCCCAGACGGCAUCGAAUGAAUGAUACGUUUAGAAAGGUCUAAAACAGAGAGACACAUACCCCAGACAGUAGCAAUUGAAUGAUAGGUCUAGCAGGGUCUAAAAACAGUGGAUACAGACCCCAGACAGUAUCAAAUGAAAGAUACAAAUAGUAAGGUCCAAAAUAGUGAAGACAGACCCCAGACAGUAUCAAAUGAAAGAUACAGCCAGCAAGGUCUAAAAUAGUGGAUAUAGACCCCAGACAGUAUCAAUUGAAUGAUACGUCUAGCAAGAUCUAAAACAGUGGAUACAGACCCUAGACAGUAUCAAUUGAAUGAUACAUCUAGCAAGGUCUAAAAAACAGUGUAAUUCUAGGUGUGUAUACUCUAGGUGUGUAUUUUCAGCAUACAGUGUUAAACGUCGUUACCAUAAGGCCAUGAAUUAUAUGGUAACAUGGAGAUACUAGUAACCAUACUAAUCGACACUAGAGUACUUGAUGCCCUGCAAGCGUCGGUGUGAAUAUGAAAUUUGUCACCCCUUGGCUUGGUAGGCCGUGGACUGUAGCUAGCAGUCGGGGUGGGGGUGUCAAUCCCAUAUAGAUCUAUACACACAAUGUCCGCUCUCCCUACAACAGAAUCUGAUUACCAACUAGACAAUGGAGAAGGUCGUGUCCUGAAGAUGUAUCUCAAACUGUGAAUUCUAAUGUAAGUGCUGGACUAGUAGUAGAGACUCAUAACUGAACCAAUCGAUGUAAACCCAUAUGUCUAUACAUGUAUACAUGAUAUAUAAUUAAUGAUCAAAUGACCUUCAGAUGGAUAUCCGAUCCCACCAGACCACAUCUCAACGAAGAAAAGGAAAUAGCGCGAACUAGCCUUCCUAAGUCCUUUAAUCUUUAUUUAUAUAACUAUACAAGUACAGGCAUACAUUUAACUAAGUGGAAGUGUUAUCAAGUGUAAGUGUAUCACGAAGUGGAAGCGUUAUCAAGUGUAAGUGUAUCACGAAGUGGAAGCGUUAUCAAGUGUAAGUGUAUCACGAUGUGGAAGCGCUAUCAAGAAUAAGUGUAUCAUGAAGUGGAAGCGCUAUCAAGUAUAAGUGUAUCACGAAGUGAAAGCGCUAUCAAGUUUAAGUGUAUCACGAAGUUGAAGCGUUAUCAAGUAGUAGCAUUUAACUAAGUAGGAGUAUUAACUAAGUGGAAGUGAAGCGGUAGUAUCUUAACCAAGUAGGAGUAUAAAAACAUGGAAGAAAACUUUGGAAAAACCUUUAUAAUUUAAGAAAUCACGACUUGGUAUUCUUUUGUAAAAUAAAUUUGAAAACCUUUAGGAAACCUUUGAAAACCUUUCAUAAACAAGUUUUGAUUAUAAAUUUGCAUAAAGCAAUAUAAGUAAAGAAAACCUUUGUUUAAAAUGCUGUUGUAACUGAAUUUGAAAUAAUACAUACAUCGCGAGAGACAAUUUGAGGAAAGCAUUGAACAAGUAAAAACGUCUUAGAAAACCGUUUACAAUAUCAUACUUGGUAAAACAGUUGACAGUGUAAGAAAUCCUUGUGCAUGUGGGUUAUUAAUCACAUGUGAUUGAUAUGAUAACUGGCAUUUUUAACUUGUAUUCCCGCCAUAAAAACAUGUAAAAAUAGUUGAAAAGUCAUUAAGGGGGUAUGAACUCACCUGUUGUAAGUGGAUCGAGUGAAGGUGCCGAUAUAGGAUGCUAAGUGUCAAGUGAGGACUUGACAACAGACGGGAAUCCUAUUUAACAAGCAAUGAUACAUUUAAGUAUCUAAUUAGUCAUUUAACAACUAAUUAAGCAAGUAAGGAUGUCUUACGACCUAAAAACACUUUGCUAGAAGUGCUAGAAGUGUCCCGGGUUGCAUAGAAGUUGUGUAUGGACUCACAUUGGAGUUUACUCCUCAAAUGAAGGCCCUUAUGGGUGUUUACGGUUUCAAGACCCUUUCCCCCCAUGAGUUUAUGGCCGUAAACCAUGGUAGUAGUGUCAUGGGAUGUUUAAAGGUCUUAUCUCACUCAUGGAAUCAUGCUAGAGUUGAAUCAAGGGCUAAGGAAGUGAUUGGGGAUCAAAAUGGGCACAAUAUGGAGUUUACGGUCCAUAGUUUACUCCUUGAGGAGUUUACAGCUGUAAACACAUGAGUUUAUGGUCGUAAACUCGUUUUAGCCCAUUCCUUUGGUUGUUUGGUGGUUCUAACUCAUGUAUGUAAGGUUCUAGUGGCUUUUAGAGGAAUGGGAAGAUGUUUAGGGCACUUAAACACCUUGGAAAGGUGUUUACGGUCUAAGGAGAUGGACUUGGGGAGUUUACUACCUUAAACACAUGAGUUUACGGUAGUAAACUCAUGUUAGCCCAUGAAUCAUGUUUUUGGUGCAUCAAAUGAAGGAUUACCAGGCUCUAGGCACUCGUGGAAGCUUUUGGAAGUGUUUGAGGGGUGGUUUCACACUUAGACAAGUGUUUAUGGUGCAUGCACAAGGGUUUAUGGUCUAAGGAUGUUCUUGGACUGUAAACUCAUGUUUACUCCCCAUUUGGUCCGAUUUUGGUGUUGUAAGUCUUUUCGGGUAAGCCUCUAAGCCAUUUCUAAGCAUAAGAAGUGUUUUGGAAGGGUUUUUGGGCAUCAAACCCACUUCCAAAGGGGUUUACAUUUUUGGGAGGCUCCCAAGACCGCAAACUCAUGUUCUUGAGGUUUCUGGAUGAUUAAUUCACGAAUUUGCAAGCUAGGUAAGUUAGAUAUCAAGCUAGGAAGGUUAGCUUACCAAUUUGGAGCUUGAAUGGGUGAUUUUUGACCAAAACCCAUUUGUAGAGAGAGAAAGUAGAGAGAGAGUGUGUGUCUAAAGUGGGAAAAAGGUGGGAGUGAAACCCACUCCUCCCUUAUAUAGGGUGGAGCUUAUUGCCUGGCUGGGGUUCUCCUGACACCAACAUCGAACGAGUUUUUCACCACUUCCUUAAUCACGGUAAAUUUUAAAUUUAUACCGCCUUAAUUUUUGUUCGCUUGACGAAUAUUAUUUAAAAUAUUCCAACGGGUUUAAUUCCGGUCAAAAAUAUUUUCGGGAUAAAUUUCGCUAAUUUUUGACGUAACUAAUUUCGACGUUAAUUUUGACGUUAAAACUAACGGAAAAUUUUGGGUUGUCACAUCAUCCCCCCGUUAGAGGGAAUUUCGUCCCGAAAUUCAGGUUUAGGCAAGGAAGUAGGUAUGAAUGAUCGAGUAGAGGUAUAAGGAUACUUCCUGUUUGGUUCAUCUACGAAGUUAGGGUUCCCAAUGGUUUCUAUCAAGAUGCGUGGGAUACAAGGAGUGGCGUCGGGCAAACACUUAUCAAGUCUAGAGACUUGUGGAAUAUCCGGAAUGAGUAGUGGUAUGACGAGGGUUGGACCAAUCUUUGUAAAGAAUCUCGGAUGGUCCUAAGCUCUCAGAAGGGUCGAGCUUUUUAGUAUUUAGAACAUAGUGUACUUCUAUGGCGAGAUCAUCAGUGGCGUGAUUGCCAUUCCGAAGUUCCAAACGCUGUCUCAUACUGGGAGUGUAGUCCUUCGGAUUGGUUCUUAGAAAGCUCGUGCUGUCCAUGGAUUUCAUGUUUCUACUGUUUGACUUUUAGAGGUUUUCUAGAUCGUCAGAUGGAUUGCGUGUCUACGGGUAUCUGUUUGCUGUAGAGUGUCUAUCUCAAUAUUGUGCAAAAUGAACCUGCACUUCUGAUUCAUGAGAUAUUUCUAACGGAAACCCUCAGGGUAGGGGAGAUAGGGUUUCACCAGACGAGUGUUGGACUAUCUCGGGAGGUGUUUCUACUAUUUCUGUGCGAGAUAGUAUUCGUGGAACACCUAGUAGUCCAAUGAAUCUUGAAAGACAUGCCCUAAUCUCUAAGGCUUUGGUUUAUUUCAGUUGCAGAAAGUGCGUGCUCUUGUAGAACCUAUCGACUAACACCUAGACUGGUGUCAAGUCUAUAAUCUCUUUGGGAUCUGGGUUAUAAGGCUUAACACAACCUACUUUCUCACUUUAUUCAAGUAUUCUUGGCUGCAGAGGUGAUCCUGUGGUUCUUGGCAUUCUAGUGUUCGCUUUGGAGAAUGCAGUCUAUCGUCUAUAGGGCGACGGUGACUUCCUCCAUGUAAGGGGGCGGAGGGUCCUAGGCACUACUUGUCGGUAACGGGGUAGACGAAGUGCCUGAGUAGUGCGAACAUCUUCUACAACUACUCUUCCAAAGGUUCUGAUUUUUUCUUGGUCUAGGUCAAGUCUACUGGGUAUACGGUUCCAUCACUCGGAACUUUGAUCUCCAUUAUAUACCACCCUUAGACAUAUACUUAGUUAUAGUGGUCAAUCCUAUGAGUUCUAUUCUCUUGAUUCACGAACUUGAUUGCGAGGUACGAAGGGUCUUUCCGGGGAAUCUGCGGAGUAUGCUUCGGGUGGCUAUCGUCUUCUGGAAUACCUGGAGUGUCUUUCGCUUCAGUUUCUUUUUGUCUAGGAAGGUUGGUUAACGGCGCACGGUACCCUUCUCCUGGGACGACUGGCAGAUCGCAUUAGGUUUGAUUAUCUGUAUUAUGUUUAGGUUCGGAAGAACCUUUAAUUGCCUAGAUGGCUACGGAGAAAGUUCUUUUUACACAACACUAGGGAUUUACACAUGGUUGCACGAAGUCGAACCAUGAUUGAUAGAGGAGUCGAAGUUGACACACUUCGACAUGACAUGGAAUGAGGAUCGAUAGCGUCAUGUGUCGAACGGACAUACAAGUUCUAGGCGUCUCGAGUUUCAUCCCGUGUAUCACUGCCGCGGAUACAUGCACCGAUAGAGUCGACGUGAAGCUAUAGAGAGUAGAGACCUUUUUAUGAAUGGAUUCUCACGAGGCAUUUCUAUAAUCGCCUAACAUAUACUAGUCACGUAUAAUUAAGGUGGGGAGGACUGUUGACUGAGCGACUCCGCCCUAAAUCCACAACCAAACAAGGAACAGGAAAUGAGGCGGCAUUCACUCACUCUAGCUCUAUCCAUCUUAAUUAUACAUGGCCGUAACGUAUAUAUCUAACCAUUAUAGUUUUACCUAAUGAAAUUUUAUAACAGUGCUGCGAUUUUCGCCUUAAUGGGGAAGUAAUUACAUUUAGAGUUAGCCUUUUAAUGUUUUCGGUUUGUUAUCCGCGAUUGAGAGAUGUACCAAGAUCUACCGGGUUCCUUGAUGCUUCUCCCUAAGCAUUAGAGUCAGACUCCUCCUGAGUCUUUGUUGUUUCCUUUGGUUGGGCAGUCCCUUUUGAAGUGUCCAAUGUCACCACAUAGACGGCAACUGGAUUGGUCGUUACAUUGGUGGUUGAUGCAAUAAACUCAACUGGUGUUCUGCAGACGCGAGCAGUAUGCCACUUCAUGUUGCACCUAGCACAUAAGAGUUCCCGGCAUAUACCAUGAUGAUGGUACCUGCACUUGCUGCAGUGGGGAAGGUUUCCUAGGCAGGGUCUUCUUGAAGUCGGGAUGGAAGGGUUGGCAGGGGUAUUGACUGUCUCGGCUUGUUGCCCUUCGGAAGGUCCUUGAGCCAAGGUACUUCCCUCCUCGAUCUUGAGUUUUCUCUUCAGUGGAUUUGGUUGAGGUUCUUGGGUGGCUGGGUAUACAGAGGUUGGUUCCUGAUGUCUACUACUAGGAUCUGAAUUCCCGAUAGGGCUCUUGCUAACAUUGGCAUUGUUAGUAUUCAGUUGAGCCAUGACAACUGCAUCGGCUGCCGAGACUGCAGCCUGGAAGGUAGCUUCAUCGAGUAGGAGAGUCGGUUUCUUGCCAGUGGAUGGGUUUGGCUUCUUCGGAGGCAUGGUUUUCCUAUACGGAAAAGAAUAGAAGCUGAUGAGAGACGAUUGUUAACCCUGGACAUAUCUGUCCUUACUGUAUUAGGCAUAAAUUUUUCCCGUGCCUCGGAUAUUGGUUGUCUGCGUUUCGACCUACAUCCCUAUGAGGUAGUCCUGGUAUGUAAGGUAGGAGUGUGAGUAUCGGAAAAAGGCCAUAAAAUGGGAGUCGUUCCUACUAAGUUACCUUUAUACUAGGAAAGGUUCACUCUCCGGCUUGGAGAGAUCUGAGAACAGUUCGGAACGAAGACCGCGGAAAGAAAGGCUCGUGAAGACUUAUGGCUAAAUACUCUCAAUAGCGGUGCGGGGAUCCGCUCUAAUCGUGUUACUUGCAACGGGAAAAGACGUUUUACCUAACACAUAGCGUGAGUAGUGUGAUCACUAACUCACUAAGUUGUACUAUUUUAUGGGUGUAUUAGCGUGACGAACACGAGGAAAAGACACUUCUCGGGUUCCAUGUACUUGCUCCUUCUGUCUACCUCGUAUCUUUGACUGGGACCGACGUUGGUUUCCUUCGGGUAGCUACCUAGGGUUCUUUUCUCGCGAAGACAUAUUGAAUUUCUGCUCUGCCUUACUUCCGAAUCCGACUCUGGGUGUCAUCACUUCAUGACGGAUGACUGGAAAUCUCGGAAGUUUAGGUGAACUUUUCACCGAUGUCCCUAAAAGAUAUAGGAACUUGGUGGUUUCAAUAGUCUCGACCUAGUUCAUUUAUUUCCGAACAGGAAAUCUUCUCAAUGAACCUCUUCUAGGUCUGAACCAACUCUUCUGUCAAGCACUGAAGUGGAUAGGGUUUUCUACAGGGUUCGUGCGAGAAUGGAAAUGUCUAAAGAAUCCUAAGAGAUUAUUAACAUUUCAUUAGGUGAUCCAUAUCGAGUCCUGGUACGAUUACAUAGGGUAUACAAAUCGUAUAUAACUUAGAUCUGAUAGGCCUUCGAAUAUGUGAUACUACUCUGUAUCCACAUCCAUACAAGGAAAAGGAAGUAGAGCGAAACCACACAUUCUUAGCCUAUGGGAUCCUUAUUAUAUAUAACCUUGGGAGUAUACUCUCUGUAAUUGUAGUUAUAUCAAUAAGGAUCUUUUUAGUUCUUCACACAAGGUUGUCUAUGGAUCCUAAAAUACCCCUAUGGUAUUUUAAUUUCUUGUUUGUUUUUAACUUCUUGAAUAUGAUUCUGGGAUUAAUGUGAGUCUUUUAGUAUUCCAAAAUACUCCCAUAGUAUUUUAAACUUUAUGUUUGGCUCUAGCAUUCCUAGUUGGUAAGUUUCAGACCUGUUGCAACACCACUAUCACUCCCAAGCACACGUUCAUCGCAUCUCGAAUAAAUGUAGUUGAUCAGGUUACCUUUAUUCCAGCUUAUGAUUACAUAACUGCCCAAGUUUGACAGUAAUGCUCAACAUCCGAAGACUUUUAUUCUUCUUCUUCUUGUGAUACUUGUGUUCGAGUGCUUAGAUUCUGGAUGUUCUUAUACUUUGGUAAAAUAUGGUUAUAUUUUAAAGUAUAAUUCUUGGUUAGAGUGUUUUAUCCCUAUGUAUUUAUAGCCUGUAUAUCUUUUAUGAAUUGAUAUACUUAGCUCACUAUAAACAAUGCUCUGAUACAAAUCUGUCACACCCCAAAACCGGAACGGCGGAAACGUUCUGGGGUGGAUGACGUCAUGUCAAGUAUCACAACACAUGCAUUAUAGUAAUCAAAGUACAACAACCAUUGCAUUAAUAGUAAUAGUUUUACGUGGUUUACAUUGUAUAGAAUUAUCAAAGUAAUACAAGUAAUAAUUGUAACAACGCAAAUUUUCAAACAGAUUUUUCAUUUUAAAAUAAAGUAUUUCCAUUCAAAACAAGGCAUAAAUAAUUUAAGUAUUAUGUCAAAUACAAAUAGUCUAAAUCCCAAGAUCAUAAAAAAACAUCCUUCAGUGUGUAUCGAUCAAGCCGGCGCCUUCCCACGGUCCUCGCUAGUACCUGAAACACAUACAUAACCACUGUAAGCAUAAAUGCUUAGUGAGUUCCCCAAUAUACACUUACGCACAUACGCCUUUCCAGGCCCUGACCUUCCGGUCCUCAACACAACGCCUUCCGGCCCAUAACAUAAUCGCCUUCCGGCCCAUAACAUAUUGCCUUCCGGCCCACAUAACAUACAUAGCACAUACAACAAAUAACUUACCACAUAUAGCAUACAUAUCACAUAUCAUAUCUGACCUUCCGGUCACACAGUCAAACCCUUCCAGGUACAGUGUAGUGAGAAGACUCACCUCGUAAAUGCUGAAAGCUAGCAAGUCCUGAAAUCACUCGUGCCCAAUCCGACGAGCUACAACCUCCCUAUAACAUCACAUAUCUCUCAUUAACACUUAUAUCUUCUAAGUGUGACUAUCCCUAAGAAGUCAGACUUAGGUCAACUCUGGUCAACGGUCAACGGUCAACGGUCAACUCGACCGGACUCGGCGAGUGCCAUGGCGACUCGGCGAGUCUAGACGUUCUCCAACUCUCUGAGAUUCCCUAUCUACUCGUCGAGUAUCCUCCUUGACCCGACGAGUUACUCCUGGAAGAAUCGCGGGGCCACCCCGACUCAACUCGCCGAGUCUGAAGAACAACUCGACGAGUCCCAGUUAAUCUUCAAGCUACUCGCCGAGUCUGUUCAUCGAACUCGGCGAGUCCAUGCCAUGCAACCGCUCAAACUGCAUCCUAAGGUCAGAACUGCUUCGACCAUUCCUAGGUCUGGCCUUCCUAGGCUGAUCCAUCACGUAAAGUCCUCAUUUCAGUGCUCAUGAUACACCAUAUGAUUCAUAAUUUACAUUUUGACCUAAGGCAUAAGGAUUCCAAUCCAAAACCUUCAUCAAUUCCCGAAAUGCACAGACAUGGGACAUUCUGGACCUCCAAAGGUCCCAAUACAGGGUUACAAUCGAUUAGGGGACUAGGGUAACAUUCAAUCUAUUCACAAAAGGGUUCCAUAAACCCUAAUUCCAUAAUCACAUCAACAUAGCAGAGUAUACUCGAAUUCUUACCUGGAUGAUGUAUCCUCUGUGUCCCCAAUCCUCAGAAUGUGACUCCCUUGCUGCUCCUUUAGCCAAUCCCUUCUCUUCCUUGCACAACCACUCUUCUAUAAUCAACAAUGGCCUAUAAUCCUUGCUCCAGAUGCACACAAUCGAUUUAGGGUUCUUCUCAGAAGGCUAAAAUGAACAAUGACGGCCAAUAAGUCCCUUUUAUACGUCCCAAACCUGAACGGUUAGGGUUUUCGCUAAACAGCGUAGACUCGCCGAGUCCAUAUCUGGACUCGUCGAGUCCAGUCGCGAACCCGCGACCAAGUCUGCGAUCCUACUCGGCGAGUCUAGGCUCCAACUCGCCGAGUCCCCUCUUAAAUCACCCCAAAAACAUAAUUUAACAAUACCUGAGAUUCCGGGCUGUUACAACUCUCCCCCACUAGGAUUAGACUUCGCCCUCGAAGUCUCACUCUGAAAAUAGUUCCGGAUGCUGCUCCCGCAUCUCACGUUCCGGCUCCCAAGUCAUUUCCGAUCCCUUACGGUGUUGCCACUGAACCAACACCAGAGGUACCUCCUUGUUCCUCAGAACCUUGAUCUUCCGAUCCCUGAUGGCCACUGGUCUCUCAGCAUAAUUCAGGCUCGCAUCCACCUGAAUAUCCUCUAAUGGAACCACUGCCGACUCAUCGGCUAUGCACUUCCUCAAUUGCGACACAUGAAAAGUGUCGUGGAUCUGUCCCAACUCCGCUGGCAACUCCAACCGAUAGGCUACCCGGCCUAUCCUUGCAAUCACACGAAAUGGCCCAAUAUACCGGGGCCCCAACUUGCCCCUCUUCCUGAAUCGAAUCACUCCUUUCCAAGGAGAGACCUUCAGGAGAACGAAGUCGCCGACCUGAAAUUCAAGCUCGGAUCGGCGCCUGUCUGCAUAACUCUUCUGUCGGCUCUGGGCGGUCAAUAACCUCUGUCUAACUUGCUGAAUCUGCUCUGUCGUCUGAAGCACGAUCUCUGUGCUGCCCAUCACUCUCUGUCCCACCUCUCCCCAGCAAAUGGGGGUCCGACACCUCCUACCAUACAACAGCUCAAAAGGUGGCAUACCAAUGCUCGAAUGAUGGCUGUUGUUGUAGGAAAACUCUGCUAAGGGUAAAUAUGCAUCCCAGCUACCCCCGAAGUCUAACACACACGCUCGAAGCAUGUCCUCCAGCGUCUGAAUCGUCCGCUCGCUCUGACCGUCUGUCUGGGGAUGGUAUGCGGUACUAAAAUGCAAUUUAGUACCCAGCUCCUCAUGGAAUUUCUUCCAGAACCUGGAAGUGAAGCGCACAUCACGGUCUGAAACAAUCGAGAUCGGCACCCCAUGCCGAGAUACCACUUCUCUCACAUAUAUCUCCGCCAACUUCUCCGCUGAAGAACUCUCGCUGAUGGCAAGGAAGUGAGCACUCUUCGUCAACCUAUCCACAAUCACCCAAAUUGCAUCAACUCCCCUGGCAGUCCUCGGCAAUUUGGUGAUGAAAUCCAUAGUGAUCUGUUCCCACUUCCACUCGGGGAUCUCCAAUGGCUGUAACUUGCCAUGCGGUCUCUGGUGCUCGGCCUUAACCCUACGGCAGGUCAAGCACCUCUCAACGAACCAUGCCACGUCCCUCUUCAUACAGGGCCACCAAUACUCCUUCCUCAAAUCCAAAUACAUCUUCGUAGCACCGGGAUGGAUCGAGAAUUUCGAUCUAUGAGCCUCUUCCAUCAAAGUAAUACGUGUACCGCCCACGAACGGUACCCAAAUCCGGCCCUGAAAUGUCAUAAGCCCUCGACCAUCCUGAACGAACUCUGAAAUUAGCCCCACAACCCGCUCUUUCUUCUGCAUUUCUGGUCGCACCGCUUCGGCCUGUGCCCCACGAAUAGCAUCCAAUACAGGAGUCAUCACAGUCAGUCUCAAGCAUACAUCUCGCAAUGGAGUGCUCUCCGCCCUGCGGCUCAACGCGUCGGCUACCACAUUAGCCUUACCUGGGUGGUACAGGAUCUCACAAUCAUAAUCCUUGACCACAUCCAACCACCUCCUCUGACGCAUAUUUAGGUUGGGCUGAUCCAUCAAAUACUUCAAGCUCUUAUGGUCCGUGUAUAUCGUACAUCGAACCCCAUACAGGUAGUGACGCCAAAUCUUGAGAGCGAACACUACUGCCCCCAACUCUAAAUCAUGCGUGGGAUAUCUCGCCUCAUGAGGCUUCAGCUGCCUCGACGCAUAAGCUAUCACAUGACCCCUCUGCAUCAACACUGCACCCAGUCCCGAAAUCGAUGCGUCGCAAUAUACCACAAAAUCUUCCAUCCCUUCUGGGAGAGCUAAUACCGGGGCUUCGCACAACCUCUGGCGAAGUGUC
rnacentral:lncRNA from 1 species